UAACAAUGCCCCUACAGCCGCUUUUGGGGUGAUUCUGGCUAGCCUAUCCUCUGCUCACAGAGUUGUUGUAGCAGCGCUCUCUACUAUCCUGUUGUUGCCCUAGUGUCCCAGAUAUUUAUCAGCAACCGCGAGUUGAAGCUAACCCAUGGACCAUAUAUUUAUUGUUGAGCUCUGGUUGCUGGCAGCAACAAGCAAUUGUAAACCCAAACCAUGGAGAUAAUAUUUUGUUUCAUCUACUGCUUCAAUUGAUGCCAGUCUUUCUGUGUAAUCAAGGAGUAAAGUACACUUGCUUGUUGCAACUGAACAAUAUAUUCCUUUUGUUAGUUUCCUUGAUUGAUGACAUACAGCUGGAAGCACCAACUGUCAAACACUUUGGCAGUGAUAAUUGCCGCCACGACGCCCCGUUGCAGAUUGCCCAACACAUGGAUACAGAUAACUUUAUCUAUGGGAGAACUCAACUCAUUUUAUAUCAUGAUGAUAUGCUGACUAGCAACAGUUGGCUGAACUCCCAUUACCUUCUGAUCAUAAUGAAUCCGUCCGGCCAAUAUGGAUCAAGCUGACGGACAAUUGAGAUGGAUAACUAGAAGCUGCUUAAUCAUUCAGGCUAGCUACUGUGCUAGAUUUGGUCUGGUUGGAAAUGCGCUGCAUAGAUGGACGUUGCUAUAUCAGACUACCGGACGCAUGCUCCAUGGUAAGUACGGUGGCUGUUGUCUCUUAUGACACUACUCCAUCUGUUCAUAAAUAUAAUUCUUUUUAGAGAUUUUAAUAUGGACUAUAUACAGAUGUACAUAAACGUAGUUUAGAGUGUAGAUUCGCUCAUUUUGCUCUGUAUGUAGUCCAUAUUAAAAUCUUUAAAAAGACUUGUACAAUAUUUAAGAACGGAGGGAGUAGAUCCUAUCCAGCAUCUAUGCAUCCAUGCCAAACCUGAUUGCAUUAUUCAGAAAGCAACCCAUUCACUAGAACGACACACAAAAUUGAUAGGUCAAAGUGAUGAUUUGCAGUUAGGAGUCUAGUAGGAGGUAAGAAGGAAAACAUCCACCAAAUUCCUUCUGUUUUCAUGCAUGUAUAGAGGUAAGAAAAAAGGAGGGGUUCCUUCAUUUUCCACGGGACCUAGUUGCGCGACGGCGACGUGUCCUGGAUCCUCGCGGAAAGUUCCAUGAACGCUUCAAUCAUCCACGUCGCUAUCCUCUUUCAUCGUUUGAUGCAGUGCGUGUACCACGAGCUUAGUGCAGACGUUGAUGGCUUUGGUCGGAGAGCGACAUGGUUUCUUCAGUGUAGGUCACUUGAAGGCGAGGAAAGGCCAAAGUAAAAACACGAUUGGUUGGAUGGAACGUAACCACACCUGGUUCUGGUUGCUUGAUAGCUUCUUCACGGGGCCGGCCAACAGAGGAUCGUAAAGCUAACAAUUCUAUCGCCGUGACAGAUAAUAAGAAUAAAAACCUCCCUCUUGGUGUCCCUUUGUUAGCUAGGCCGGGCAUCUUUCAAAUUAAUAUUGUGAAAUUCUGCAAUCCACAAACCACCCCAACCGACAGUCAGAAUUUUUUUGAAUAUGCCCGUAAGUUUAUUGGAGACUUGAGCAAAACUCAGAUCGGAGAAGAAUAUGGUCCUGUCGAUUUUGUUUCUGACGGAAGGCGUGGCACGAUUGUGUGUCACGUGUACUUUCGGCGCCUUUCUUCUUUUUCUCGAGUCCCGUGUUAGGAUCCUGGAAAUAGAGGGAAUGAUGAUAGCUCGAAAAGUGUUUGCUACGUUGAGUUGUGCAACGCUGGAAAGUUCGGCUCCAUGUGACAGCUUGGUUUAUCCAGGGAAAACAACAGUGAAUCUACUCUUUAACUUAGCGAAAUUCAUAUUUCUUGAGUUCUUAAAAAUUGCGAGAAAAGGGAUAGAAACACCAUCCAUCAUAGUAAAGUGCAGGAAACAAAAAGGUACAAUAUAGCUACGAUCUAAUGGGCUCACAACAUGAUAAGACACAACGAUAAAUUGAAAUAACAUGUCACUAGGUGAUCGCAAAUAGCCUACACCUAAGGAAUGGGUGGCUAACCUCAAGGCAACAACCAAAUGUUGUAGUGUCCUAGGGUUCCAAUGUGAGUUCUCACUCCAUGUUAUAUACUCUGUUCACCCCUAUUGGAGAGAAUUGACCACAUGGGCCAGGAGAUGUUCGAAUACUGAAGCCCAAUUACUGUCCAACACUCCGCUUUAAGAUGUGUGAUAAAUAUCUACCGUUCCCAUUUUGACACAAGCUCGAUUGCAAUCCUUGACAGCCAAACCCUUUGUUGGAUAAUCAUCAACCUUUUGCCAUGCACUCACAUAGUUGACCUUGAUGAUUCUAGCAUCCAACUUCUCUUUAAUAAAAAAAUUUAUCGAUCUCAAUGUGCUUUGUCCUAUCAUGUUGGACUAGAUUAUUUGCUAUGCAAAUUGUUGACUUGUUAUGACACCAUAAGUUCAAGUGUCUUGCCUUUAACACCUCCAGCUCACUCAAAAAGUUUCUUACCCAUAGCAUCCCACUUAAUCCUUAACACGUGGCUUUAUACUCCCCUUCUGUAGUUGACCUUGAUACUAUUAUUUUUUUCGCUUCUCCAUGAUACCAAGUUCCCUCCAACGAAUACACAAUAACAUGAAGUUGACCUUCUAUCAUCCAAACAACUUGCCCAAUCAACAUCACUAUAACUGUCAACUGUUAGAUCCAUUUGCUUUAAACCAUAGCCCUUUUUUUUGGAGUUCCUUUUAUAUUUUUGUGAUAAAAUUUCAAUAUAUUCAUGUUCAAUCAAGGCGGUACAAAGAAUAACAGAGGUAAUAAAAAUUACAAUCAUGUUCGUGGACCACCUAGCGACGACUACAAGCACUAAAACGAGCCGAAGGCGCGCCCCAUCAUCGCCUCUCCCUCACUGGAACCGGGCAAUCCUUAUUGUAGUAGACAGUCGGGAAGUCAUCGUAAUAAGGCCCCAUAGGACCAGUGCACCAGAGCAGCAGCCAUCGCCGAUGAAGAAAGUCGUAGAUCAGAAGGGUCAAACCUAUAAACACUCAAAUGAAGACGAACGAAGACCAGAUCCAAACAGAUCCGCCGAAGGCCAGUACCGACGGAAUCCCGCGAGAUCCGACAGAGACACAUCUCCACACGCCCUACGACGAUGCUAGAUGCACCAUCGGGACGGGGAUAGAACGUGAGAGACAUUAUCCCUACUAGGGACAUCGCCACCGCCACACAACCCAACCAAGACGUUGAGUCUAACAAGAACGAGAACAUCGUCCCUCCCGCCGGUGGUGGGCCAAGAUCCUCUACACCUCCAUGGCCGAGAGACCAUCGGAAAUGAGGCGGACCCGGUCAGCAUCACUAUUACUGACAACUGUUAGAUCCAUUUGCUUUAACCCAUAGCCCUUUUUCUGGAGUUCCUUUUAAACAUCUUAGGAUUUGGGACAUCAUCCAUAUGUACACUUCUUGGUUCAUGCAUGUAUAUGCUUAGAGCAUUACUAGUAGAGCCCUCAAACCCUCAAACCCCUAAAAACAACUGCUUUUUUACAGUUUUCGUCGAAAAAAAGCCGUAGACUAGAACCCCUUAACCCUCAAACCCUCAAAUUUUUUUAAAGGUCCAACCCUCAAACCCUCUCCCAAUCCUCAAAAGUAAGGGUUGGGGAGCAAAACCUACCCCAACCCUCAUUUGGCGGUUAUCCUCGCGCGGGAGGGAAAAAUCCCCCCAACUCCCGCGCCCACGCCCUCGACCGCCGCUGCUAGUCGCCCCCGUCGCCUGCGGCCGCCCCGUCGACCUCCCGUCAUGGGGAAUAUUCCGUUAUAAGGGUUGGGUUUGAGGGUUCUAAUCUUUGCCCCUGUUUUUCAACCCGUAAAAGUGCACAAAAAGAUCAUUUUUGGACCCUUAAAACGCUAGUGAGGGUUUGAGGGUUUGAGGGUUCUACUAGUAAUGCUCUUACUAUCCUAAAUUGAGCUCUUAUUUUGUGAUCCUGGUCAAUGGGUGUUGGAGCUGCAUGGCAUUCCAUCAUCCCAUAUCACUGAGGAGGUCUAAGUUAUACUUGCGUUGUGAUAGAACUAUUCCCUUCUUUGAUCUUUUCACCUCUAUCCCAAGAAAGUAUCUAAGUUGACCAAUAUUUUUUACUUCAAAUGCUUUGCUUAAACAACUCUUAACCUUUGUUAUUUCUACUGUAUCAUAUCCUGUGAUUAUUAUAGCAUCCAUGUAGACUGCUAGAAUCGUGAUCUUCUGAUUUGAGUAUCUAUUGAAUAUAGUGUGGUCUCCACUACACUGGCCAUAUCCUAUUUCACACACAGCUCUUCUAAAUUUGUCAAACCAAGCUCUAGGGGGACUGUUUUAAGCCCCAUGGAUACAAUAUUUUGUUUCAUCUACUGCUUUAAUUUAAUCAAUGUCACUCUUUCAGUGUGACCAAGGAGUAAAGUACACUUGCUUGUUGCAACUGAACUGCCCAUUUCCACAGUAAUUAAGAAACGAGUGUCCUCAUCUCAUGUCUGUCUUAAUUAGACUAACAUCUCUUUUGUUCCUUUCGCUGCUGACAUACAGCUGGAAGCACCAACUGUCAAACACUUGGCGAUGGCCCUGAUACUCGCCACCACGACACCCGUUGCUGAUCGUUCCGGCACGUGGAAACAGAUAAUUUUGACAAUCGCUCCGAAGAACUCAUUCAUUCAUAUGAUGAAAUGCUGAGUGGAGUAGUAACUUAACAGUUGGCCGAACUCCCUUUUGGUUUUAACGAAUCAGUCCGGCCAGCAAGCUGACGCAGACAACUCAGAUAACUAGUAGUAGAACUCUAGAAGUGGCCCAAUCAUGCAGGCUAGAUCAUUCAGUCUACUGGAGUUUUCUGAUAGUGUAGUACUUACAGUACUACAUAGAUGUCAGAUCAGGUCUCACCAGACGCAUGCUUGAAGCAUAGGCGUUACAGUAGAUAGGUAGGUGGCUGUUGUCUGCAUGACACUAGAUCCUAUCCAGAAUCUAUGCAAAACCGCUGCUUGACUUGAUUGCAUUAGUUGGAAACCAAGCUCACCCGCUAUAAUAACACAAAAAAGAUGAUAGGUUAAUGUGAGGAUUUGCAGCUGGGGGCAUCAAGAACUAGCCUUGUUUCCUGUAGCGGAAAAUGAGAUGAGAUCCAUCUACUAGUGGUUUCCACGAGACGUAAUUGCGCGACGGCGAGAUAGUUGGGCUUGCUACCAUGUACGUCGUCAUCGGCUUUAUUGUUUGAUGCGAUGUUACGUAUGUUCCACGAGAUUAAGCAAACGCUGCUGACUUUGGGUCGCAAAGCGAGAUGUUUUCUAUGUGCUCUGCCUCCGUCACUUGAAGGCAAGAGGCACCGCGCGAUUAGGUUGGGACGUAGUACGAAUACGUGCACCUGUUCUUGAGGCAAGGUUUCUCAACCUUUUUCCUAGUAAAACUUUCCAGAUGGUCAUCAGGUUCUUGCUGUCGCUUUGCCAGGUAGGCAGGCAUAUGUAGAUUGUUUCUGGCAUCAUGGAAGGUGGAAACACAGGGAAUGGAAUGAUGAUGUUUAUGGCUAUUUAGCUUCACUGUAUCUCAGUUGAGUAGACGUGAACUAUAUACGCUUGGUAGUUGCAACAGAACUACACUUUAGUGAUUUAAACGUUCGUAUAUUUCUGUACAGAGGGAGUACUAAUUAAUAGCAAGGGUUGUGCGCAUCACAAUGAUGUAGAGUCCGGGGCUCCAACCUGUUUCUUGAAAAGGAAAAAGAAAUCAGUGUAUGUCUUGAACUAACAUCUCUCUUGUUCAUUUCAUUGCUGACAUACAACUGGAAGGGAAGCACUACCAAGUGUCAAAACACUCGGCGAGAGCCCGCCCAACCACGCCCCUUGCAGACCACUGCAACACAUUGAAACGGAUAGCCUUAAGCCCGUUCAUUUUUUAUCAUGAAACGUCGAGUAGCAACAGCCGGUGCAAAUUGACGCGGACAGCUCAGAUAUGAACGCAGCACACCAAUGAGUAACCAAGCAGUUGCCAAUCAUGCACGCAGACUAGUAGAGUAGUGGUACUAGAUUCGUGCAGCCGAACUUGGAUGUCAGAUCCGAUCACCAGAUGCCUGCCUGAAGCACAGAUGUCCUUGGAGUAGUAGGUAAGGUGGCUGUUGCCAUGUCUGCAUGACACUAGCUAGUUCUUAUCCAGAACUGCAGAAUCUGUGUGCCGAAACCGCUGCUGGAUUGCACUGUUUAGAAGUUAAGCAACUCGUCCACUAGGACGGCUAUUAAUCCAUUCCAUGGCAUAGUCAAACAACUUGCAGUCAGCAUCAUGAUAAACAAUGACAUGAGAGGGAAAAACUGGCAUUAAUUCCUCCAUACAGAGGGAAAAGGAUGGCCAUCUAGAGGCAAAAUAUCCUGGUUUCUCAUGCAACUUUUCAUGAACGCUUUUAACGUGCGUCGAUAUCGGAUUUAUUAUCUGAUGCAAGCUGCCCCCAAAAGUAACAGUAUAUACGCGAGUACCACGCAUACCCUAUUCACUUUUGUUGGAAAGGGAAAUAUGUUUCUUUUCAUUUUUUUUAUAUAUUAGAUGUUCCAUGAACUAGUAAGCGACGGGUACCCACCCCAAGUCGCUCGCGUCGCCUCCAGGGGGCCACUCGAGCGAACCCUAGCCGCCGCUGCCCCUACCCUCCUUCCCCUACAUCCCUGCCGUCGCCGGAGGAGGCCGGCGGGCGAAGCUCGCUCGACGGACAGCAUAUGACAGGCUUUCCUCCUCUCUNNNNNNNNNNNNNNNNNNNNNNNNNNNNNNNNNNNNNNNNNNNNNNNNNNNNNNNNNNNNNNNNNNNNNNNNNNNNNNNNNNNNNNNNNNNNNNNNNNNNNNNNNNNNNNNNNNNNNNNNNNNNNNNNNNNNNNNNNNNNNNNNNNNNNNNNNNNNNNNNNNNNNNNNNNNNNNNNNNNNNNNNNNNNNNNNNNNNNNNNNNNNNNNNNNNNNNNNNNNNNGGCAGGAUGGGGCGGCGGACCGAUGGGAUUUCGGCAGCGGCUGAACCACCACGGCUGCGGGGCAGCAUGGGGGUGGCUAUGACGGCUGGCGGCGGCGGAUCUGGGGUUCAGAUCGGUUCUUCUCCGGGUGGUGCGGGCUCGGGCGCCGGCCGGGGGCCCUGAGCGAUGGUGGGUGCGUGCCUAGGUUUCCCUCCUUCAUCGGUGUGGUUGGGGGCGGCCGGAGGUGUCCGUGUGGUGCCGACAACUUUUGGAGUCGGCUCUGUCCGACGGCCGGCAUGCGCGGGAGUGGAAAAUCUGGCAGGCCACGGCCCGCUGUGAAUCCCGGAAGCGUCAUCUCAGACUUGAUCUGCUCUAGCUCGUGCUAGCUCCAAUACCUGGCAACUACAUUUUCUCGGUGCUGGCUAGAUGGAUCUAGAGGGUGAGCAUGGAUCCACAGAAACUCCAGGCCGGCGACGGCCUCACUAAAGUCGACGCCCCGCAGCGCCGAUUACCUUCCUGGAGCCUUUGGUGCGGAUCAUGUACCUCUCACCUCCUUCAUGAGCGCAGGCGAAAACCUCUGUUCCUCUGCUAUGGGCGAUGACAUCACCUGGAUGUUGUGUCCCUUCCUGAUGGCGUCGACCGAGGACUGCUCAUGGUGGUGGAGUUGUUGGUAGUGCGGAGUCGGUGCGAGAUGGCCUGUAGGUGGAGCGGCGUAGCAUCUACCGUAUCGACGACAGUGGGUUUGGGCGGCAUGGUGCAGCAGAGUCUCGGCGUCGCAUGUGUCUAGAUGGACGGGCGCAGGGUGAUGGCGCUGUUUGAUAUCAUGGUAACAUCGACGACAGAUGGGCCUGGCAAGAUAUUUGCAAUGAUCACUCCUGAAAAUGGGACAGUGGAAGUUGGCGGCGGCGUAUCCUAGAGCGUGUGCAUGCAGUGCACGUUGUGAGGCGCCUAGACCGGUUGGUACUCUCGGCUUGCAAGGCGGGCGGCUUCUUAAGGCCACUGGAUUUGAUGGUGUCUAUUGAUGCGAUCAGUGCACAUCUUUAUAUGUGUAGUUUUUUUUGCAAGUGAUAUACAUAUAGGUAUAGCGAUCUUGUUCACCUUGAAGGUGGAUUUGGGUUAAUCUUUGUACUACUUACUUUUAUCAGCUUUUAAUGAAUAAAUUAAUAAAGAUGAUUGCACACAUUAUUUUGAAGCAGAGGCUGGGGUAAUUUUUCUUUUAUUGUUUAUAUACCCUACGUUACUUGAAGGAAAUGAGAGGCCAAGGGCAUGAUUGCUUUGUUGGAAAUACACCUGGUCGCUCGAUUGCUUCUCGGGCGGCGCUUCCGAGCCUUUUUCUAGAACCCUACACACGAUGUUGAUGAUGGAAGCCACCAGAGGAUCUUAAAACUGACAAUUCUGUCGCUGUUGGAUAUAAAGACACCAACUUUUUUCUUAGACAAACAAGAUACCAACUUUUUUGCCGUGGCUUUGCCAGCUAGGCGGGCAUAUAUCUGUAGAUUGUUUCUGACGGAAGGCAUAGAAAAAUUGUGUGUGCCAUGUACUUUCGGCGCCGUCCUCCUUUUCUCUUCUUUUUCGCCUGAAAGUCCCGUGUGAAGUAUCCAGGAAGUAGAGGGAAUGAUAACUGCAAAAGAACGGAUCUGCAGCUGCAAAAGAAUGAUAACUGCCCAACUCUGAAAACUUUCAGCUCCAAGACCAAGAGACAUCAGACUUAGCCAAGGAAAAUGCUCAACGGGAACUAGGUUCAUGUGAAUCUACGUUUUCAAAUUUAGCGAGAAUCAUAAUUUUAAGUUUUGAAAAUAUGUUAAAGAAAAACCCAACAAAUGUAGGUAUCAAGUAAAAACUUACCGUGUAUUUUUUCUUUCAAAAACGAGGAUAAGCAUGCGGUCUUUGCAUUAUCCAUUGCACACAACUAAAUUUAUCGUACCACAAAUUUUGAAAUGUAAUACGCACUCGUAUCUUUUAUUAUCAACAAUAUGACUUUAUUAACUAAGCGAAGAUUUUACAUCAAUUUGGAGAAAAUGAAAAGGAAAUGAUCAGCAAACAACAAUCCUACCCCCGGUCAUUCCUUUCCUCUGCCCCCGCGACCUAGGCAAAGUGGCGGCCGAUCUAUUGCUUCCCUAGCGAGACUACGCCACCCUCUCCCUUUGCCUGUCGCUCCAACAAGAGGGGGUGCAGGGACCCUAGUGCUUCCGAAAGGACAUCUAGCCCCUAAUGAGGGUUUUGAUGUUAAUGGCCCUAUGUAUAGAUGACCAACUAUUUUCCAGAGUGCUUACACAGGAUACACACCCUUCAAAAUGAAACAUAAAGUUGAUCGAAGCCCCCCCCCAAUGAAAGAAUAAAAUAAGUCGUGAUGUGAUUUUUCUACCGGUGAUUUCUCGUUUUGAGGCAUAGGCAUACCAAAUUAUUAAGAGGGGAUACACCAUUGAUCGAACUGUGGGAAUGGAUGAACCAACUCAAAGCCAAAAUCACCCACACCCUACGCGAGAGAAAGCCCCUUAAAUAUGCCCAUCACUUUACUCUAUGGCGAGCGUCGGAGGUGCCUUAGACACCCCGAGCGGCCUUUGAGCCUACAUGUUUGUUUCUGUCCCCGUGUCGGACACUCCGAAGUGUCUCAGAGCCUCUGGCCUCUCGACCCUCCAAGUGACCUCCGGGGUACCUUUGACCGAAAACAUAACUCUCUAUUUUCACUCGGACGUACAUCAGAACCGGGUCGGAACCUCCGAAAGGCCGACCCUUCUAAGCGUCUCGGAGCCUCUGAGAUUUCUAGGUAGUGGCAUAACGUGUAGAUUUAAGCAAGACAUAUAUAUAUAGGCUCCUUCUUCCCCCCGAGGAAGGUGACGACUCCAACACUCUCUCCACCAUUUUUUAACAUAAAAAAUCUUGAGAUAUCCAUCCCUGGCCUUCCAUUCAACCAAUAAUUUUAGGGAGAGGAAGACACGACCUUGAUCUACAAUCCCAUAAAAGAAAAAGUCAAGUUCAUUGUUCCCCACAAGAUCUUUCGCGAGUUUUGUUACUCUUGUGUUUGGCACAUGUGGAAGGAUCAGGAGGUCAACUAGAGGGGGGGGGGGUGAAUAAGAGUACAAAGUUGUAGCUUUAACUUCCAAUUUUAGGGGUAAUGUAGAUAAAGUAAGUUAUCUAGAUAUGAAAUCUACGGUGAGAACAACAUAUAUGACAAGCAAGCUCAUAAACUAGAUAAGCAAGAGCAACAUGCUAGCUAGCCAUCAAACACAAUUGAAGGUGCAAAAAAGGAUUAAUCACGCAAGUCGGAGAUGCGGAUGUAUCCCGAAGUUCACACUCUUGGGGGAGUGCCAAUCCCGGUUGGAAAGGUGUGAAAUACAAAGCUCCUAAAUGCUAUCAAGUGGCUCACCUAGUCUCCCUUCUGAAAGAAUCGAGAGGUCGACAAAAGGGGGGUGAAUAGGAGACUACAAAAUUUAUGCUUAACUUCGGGAUGAAGUAAGUUCUCUAGAUAUGCAACUAGGUGAGAACAACCUAUAUGGAAAUCAAGCUCAAGGCAACAUAUGCUAGGCAAUAAUCCAAUUAGCAAGCCAACAAGCAUAUAAAGCAAGUGAAGGUACGAGAAAGGAUUAACACAAAUGACUUGAGGACUCGGAUUUUAUCCAGAAGUUCACACUCUUUGGGGAGUGUUAAUCUCCGUUGGAGCGAUACCAAAACCAAAGAUCCGGAGAGCCACCAAGUGGUCACUGUAUUCUCCCUUUGAGUCACCCCAAAGGAUGAGCCUCAAAUCACUUGUGGUUGGUCUUGAAUGCGACCACCACACCUUUACAAACUUUCUGGCGCACACAUAAGCAAGGAAGUUUUCGGGGAUGACCUCUACCACAUAGGACCCAAGCUCCAAGAGUAACAAGUGUUGAUGAAGAAAUCGAGAGGGGAACACAAAUUGGUUUGGUGAAAGUGUACAUAAGAUCUUACUCUCUCUAUCCCCAAGUAAUCGACAAAUCUGGGUGGAGGAAUAGAGAGUAUUGAGAAAAUUAAGGUGUAGCAAUGGUGAUAGGCUCACAAGACAUUAGUGUUAGGGAUGGAGGUAGAAGGAGACUUAUAUAGUCUUACCAAAGAUCUAGCCGAUAGCUACUUGGAGACCACAUGCACACAUGCUUAAGGCCUUGUGUGAACGGUACAAGCCCAUGUGCAGGGGUUACAACAACAACAACAACAACAACAACAAGUUGGGGUAGGCUAGAGGUGAAACCCAUAAGAUCUCGCAACCAACUCAUGGAUUUGGCACAUGGAUAGCAAGCUUCCACGCACCCCUGUCCGUAGCUAGCUCUUUGGUGAUACUCCAAUCCUUCAGGUCUCUCUUAACGGACUCCUCCCAUGUCAAAUUCGGUCUACCCCGCCCUCUCUUGACAUUCUCCGCACGCUUUAGCCGUCCUCUAUGCACUGAAGCUUCUGGAGGCCUGCGCCUAAUAUGCCCAAAUCAUCUCAGACGAUGUUGGACAAGCUUCUCUUCAAUUGGUGCUACCCCAACUCUAUCUCGUAUAUCAUCAUUCCGGACUCGACCCUUCCUCGUGUGGCCACACAUCCAUCUCAACAUACGCAUCUCCGUCACACCUAACUGUUGAACAUGUCGCUUUUUAGUCGGCCAACACUCAGCGCCAUACAACAUUGCGGGUCGAACGCCGUCUUAUAGAACUUGCCUUUUAGCUUUUGUGGCACUCUCUUGUCACAGAGAAUGCCAGAAGCUUGGCGCCACUUCAUCCAUCCGGCUUUGAUUUGAUGGUUCACAUCUUCAUCAAUACCCCCAUCCUCCUGCAGCAUUGACCCCAAAUACCGAUAGGUGUCCUUCUGAGGUACCACCUGGCCAUCAAGGCUAACCUCCUCCUCACACCUAGUAGUACUGAAACCGCACAUCAUGUACUCGGUUUUAGUCCUACCAAGCCUAAACCCUUUCGAUUCCAAGGUUUGUCUCCAUAACUCUAACUUCCUAUUUACCCCCGUCCGACUAUCGUCAACUAGCACCACAUCAUCCGCAAAGAGCAUACACCAUGGGAUAUCUCCUUGUAUAUCCCUUGUGACCUCAUCCAUCACCAAUGCAAAAAGAUAAGGGCUCAAAGCUGACCCGUGAUGCAGUCCUAUCUUAAUCGGGAAGUCAUCAGUGUCGUCAUCACUUGUUCGAACACUUGUCACAACAUUAUCGUACAUGUCCUUGAUGAGGGUAAUGUACUUUGCUAGGACUUUGUGUUUCUCCAAGGCCCGCCACAUGACAUUCCGCGAUAUAUUAUCAUAGGCCUUCUCCAAGUCAAUGAACACCAUAUGUAAGUCCUUCUUUUGCUCCCUAUAUCUCUCCAUAAGUUGUCGUACCAAGAAAAUGGCUUCCAUGGUCGACCUACCAGGCAUGAAACCAAACCGUUUUUUGGUCACGCUUGUCAUUCUUCUUAAGCGGUGCUCAAUAACUCUCUCCCAUAGCUUCAUUGUAUGGCUCAUCAACUUAAUUCCACGGUAAUUAGUACAGAACUGAACAUCCCCCUUGUUCUUGAAGAUUGCUACUAAUAUACUCCGUCUCCAUUCUUCUGGCAUCUUGUUUGCCCGAAAAAUGAGGUUGAAAAGCUUAGUUAGCCAUACUAUCGCUAUGUCCCCGAGACCUUUCCACACAUCAAUGGGGAUACAAUCUGGGCCCAUCGCCUUGCCUCCCUUCAUCCUUUUUAAAGCCUCCUUGACCUCAGACUCCUGGAUUCACCGCACAAAACGCAUGCUGGUCUCAUCAAAGGAGUCAUCCAGUUCAAUGGUAGAACUCUCAUUCUCCCCAUUGAACAACUUGUCAAAGUACUCCCGCCAUCUAUGCUUAAUCUCCUCGUCCUUCACCAAGAGUUGGCCUGCCCCGUCCUUGAUGCAUUUGACUUGGCCAAUAUCCCUCGUCUUCCUCUCUCGGAUCUUGGCCAUCUUAUAGAUCUUCCUUUCGCCUUCCUUUGUGCCUAACCGUUGGUAGAGGUCCUCAUACGCCCGACCCCUUGCUUCACCAACAGCUCGCUUUGCGGCCUUCUUCGCCAUCUUGUACUUCUCUAUGUUGUCUGCACUCCUAUCCAGGUAUAGGCGUCUGAAGCAAUCUUUCUUCUCUCUAAUCGCCUUCUGGACUGUUGGAAAUAUGCCCUAGAGGCAAUAAUAAAUUGAUUAUUAUUAUAUUUCCUUGUUCAUGAUAAUCGUUUAUUAUCCAUGCUAGAAUUGUAUUGAUAGGAAACUCAGAUACAUGUGUGGAUACAUAGACAACACCAUGUCCCUAGUAAGCCUCUAGUUGACUAGCUCGUUGAUCAAUAGAUGGUUACGGUUUCCUGACCAUGGACAUUGGAUGUCGUUGAUAACGGGAUCACAUCAUUGGGAGAAUGAUGUGAUGGACAAGACCCAAUCCUAAGCCUAGCACAAAGAUCGUGUAGUUCGUAUGCUAAAGCUUUUCUAAUGUCAAGUAUCAUUUCCUUAGACCAUGAGAUUGUGCAACUCCCGGAUACCGUAGGAAUACUUUGGGUGUGCCAAAUGUCACAAGGUAACUGGGUGGCUAUAAAGGUACACUACAGGUAUCUCCGAAAGUGUCUGUUGGGUUGGCACGAAUCGAGACUGGGAUUUGUCACUCCGUGUAAACGGAGAGGUAUCUCUGGGCCCACUCGGUAGGACAUCAUCAUAAUGUGCACAAUGUGAUCAAGGAGUUGAUCACGGGAUGAUGUGUUACGGAACGAGUACAAGAGACUUGCCGGUAACGAGAUUGAACAAGGUAUCGGGAUACCGACGAUCGAAUCUCGGGCAAGUACAAUCCGAUAGACAAAGGGAAUUGUAUACGGGAUUGAUCGAAUCCUCGACAUCGUGGUUCAUCCGAUGAGAUCAUCGUGGAACAUGUGGGAACCAACAUGGGUAUCCAGAUCCCGCUAUUGGUUAUUGACCGGAGAACGUCUCGGUCAUGUCUGCAUGGUUCCCGAACCCGUAGGGUCUACACACUUAAGGUUCGAUGACGCUAGGAUUAUAAGGAAUAGAUAUACGUGGUUAUAGAAUGUUGUUCGGAGUCUUGGAUGAGAUCCCGGACGUCACGAGGAGUUUCGGAAUGGCCCAGAGGUAAAUAUUUAUAUAUGGGAAGUCCUGUUUUGGUCACCGGAAAAGUUUUGGGUUUUACCGGUAGUGUACCGGGACCACCGGAGGGGUCCGGGGGUCCACCAAGUGGGGCCACCAGCCCCGGAGGGCUGCAUGGGCCAAGUGUGGGAGGGGACCAGCCCCAGGUGGGCUGGUGCGCCCCCCCACCAAGGCCCAAGGCGCCUCCAAGAGGGAAGGGGGGCAAACCCUAGGGCAGAUGGGCCCUAAGGCCCACCCCAGGUGCGCCUCCCCCUCUCCCCCUUGUGGCCGCCACCCAGAUGGGAUCUGGGGGGCUUCCGCCACCCCUAGGGAGGGAACCCUAGGUGGGGGCGAUCCCCUCCCCUCCCCCUAUAUAUACUUGAGGUUUGGGCUGCCCAAGACACACGAGUUCCUCUCCUUCUUGGUGCAGCCCUACCCCUCUCCCUCCUCGUCUCUUGCGAUGCUUGGCGAAGCCCUGCUGGAGUACCAUGCUCCUCCACCACCACCACGCCGUUGUGCUGCUGCUGGAUGGAGUCUUCCUCAACCUCUCCCUCUCUCCUUGCUGGAUCAAGGCAUGGGAGACGUCGUCGGGCUGUACGUGUGUUGAACGCGGAGGUGCCGUCCGUUCGGCACUAGGAUCUCCGGUGAUUUGGAUCACGACGAGUACGACUCCUUCAACCCUGUUCUCUUGAACGCUUCUGCAUAGUGAUCUACAAGGGUAUGUAGAUGCACUCUCCUUCCCCUCGUUGAUGGUUUCUCCAUAGAUAGAUCUUGGUGACACGUAGGAAAAUUUUGAAUUUCUGCUAUGUUCCCCAACAUGGACAUCAUCAUUCCACCAUCAGGUAUCCUUAUCUUCGCUUCUCCUUCCCCUGGACACUCCAAACUCCACCAAGGCCACCUUAUGAAUGCAAGUCACCAUUUUCAUCCACACAUUGUUCGCAUCCCCUCCUUCCUCCCAAGGGCCCUCCUUAAUGACCCUCUCCUUGAACGCUUGAGCUACCUCCCCCUUGAGCUUCCACCACUUCGUUCUAGCGACUUUGGCACGCUUAUCCCGCUGGACACGAAUCCGAAAGCGGAAGUCAACAACCACCAGCUUAUGUUGGGGUACAACACUCUCUCCAGGUAUCACCUUACAUUCUAGGCACGCACACCUAUCUUCUCUUCUCGAGAGGAUGAAAUCAAUCUGGCUAGAGUGUUGGCCACUACUAAAAGUUACUAGAUGUGAUUCUCUCUUUCUAAAGAGGGUGUUAGCUACAAUCAUGUUGUAGGCUAGAGCAAAGCUUAAGACAUCUUCUCCUUCUUGAUUCCUGAUGCCAUAUCCAAAACCCCCAUGCGCCCCUUCAAAACCUGUGUUAGAUGUACCCACGUGGCCAUUGAGGUCUCCUCCUAAGAAGAGCUUCUCACCAAUCGGUACACUCCUAACCAUGUCUUCCAGGCCUUUCCAGAACUCCCUCUUGGUGUUCUCAUUGUGGCCUACUUACGGGGAUACGCGCUGAUAACAUUGAGAACCAAGUCCUCAACUACCAGCUUGACCAGGAUAAUCCGGUCCCCACGUCUCUUGACGUCUACCACUCCAUACUUGAGGCUCUUGUUGAUCAAGAUGCCUACGACAUUUCUGUUUGCAGCCGUCCCCGUGUACCAUAGCUUGAAGCCGGUAUCCUCCACCUCCUUCGCCUUCUGUCCUCUCCAUUUGGUUUCUUGGACGCAAAGGAUAUCAACACCUCUCCUCACCGCUGCAUCAACUAUCUCCCGGAGCUUCCCUGUCAGAGACCCUACGUUCCAGCUACUUAAGCGAAUCCUCCUAGGCUCGGCUAGCUUCCUUACCCUUCGCACUCGUCGAGUCAAAUGCGAAGACCCUUGCUCAUUUUCCUCUACAUCCGGGCGCCGAUGUAGCGCGCCACUAAGGAUGCGACGACCCGAUCCUCGCUCACUUGCCACCGUAUCCGGAUCAAGAUACGAUGCACCACCUGGGGGGUGACGGCCCGGCCCUUGCCCAUUUUCCACCACACCCGGAUUCCGACAUGGCGCGUCGCUGGGAGGGUUACGCCCCAACGAAUAUCUUUUGGGUUUCAUCUCCAUAAGAGUGGCUGAGUUUUUACGUUGGCUUGCCAAGCCUAUGACAACCCUCCUCCUUUACCCGGGCUUGGGACCGGCUAUGUUGAGACAACAUAGGCGGAGUUAAGCCCAUGUGCAGGGGUUGUCCAGAAGAUUUUCCACCUACCCCAUGUGCACUAGGGUCAGAAGGCCCGUGUACAUACGGUGUCUAGAGAGUUUUGCCUAGACCUCAUGUGCACGGGGUAGCCAGCCAAGGGCCACAUCUUAGGUUGGACUUGGCAAUUUGGCGGUGGAUAAACUUAGGUACACUAGUGUAUAUGGUUUGCAAGUUCCUCAUAUCUCAUCCAAGUAUCUUGACCCUCUUUAGAAUGUGGUUAGUGACACUAAUGACUUAAAGAAACCAAAAAUAAAUUUCAAGUUGUCGGAGAACCAGACAAUUUCUUUUUAGAAGUGAGGUGGGGGGAAACCAUCCUCUUUAAAAUAACCCUCGAGGGACCAAUCGCCUGAGAUAAAUUGUAGCAACCGUCAUUAGUGUCACUAACCACAUUAUUAUCACACCAAAACAUCAUUUAAGGAUAAAUGCACUUUCAACCUCCUCUUUUUUGCUGAACUGUUGACAAUACGGCUAGAGCAUGGCAAAAGAUAUAAACAAUGAAUAAGGCCAUGCAACUAUAUUUAUAUAAGGAGCUCCCCCUCCAUCUGUGCAUGUAUAGAUAUUGCUUGAAAUGCAAUACACACACAACAAGAUGCCCCCUAUAUCAAUAUACAAAUGCAAUGAAUACGAGUUAAGAUCAUGGUCUAAUAAACUCAUUGCAUAAAGGCUUGACAUGUGGUCAACAACACAACAAGGCGGUGCAAGGAUGACAUGCAAGAGGUGUAGCGAGAGAGCAUAAUAAGUGAGACAAUGAGCAUAGAGAUAUGACAUGAUAUGAGCACACAGAUAAAUAACUGAGCAUAGCAUAUCCAGUCACAACAUAACAAUAGCAAUACCACAUAGUCUUACACAAACAUAAAUAGUAUCUCUCACACCACAAUAUAAAUAAAUAAAAGUAAGUAGCACAAGUCACAUAAAUACCAAUAAAGAAGAGCAAGGCUUGAGAUCUCCCAAAUGCAGACGCUCCUAAAUAUAACAACCCCUAGCAUCAAAACGCCAAAUAUGAAAAAAGUGAUGCUAGAGUAAUCCUAGACACAUGAAGGGUCACUCACAACAUCAUCCUAAUCAUCGUCAAGGCGCCAACACGCCAAAGGAUUAUCAAACUAUGUGGGAACACAUCCUUUGAUCAUGGAGAACCUUCAUGCACUGUACCAAAUAUGCCUUCUUAAUGUGUUUAUAGAACUUGACCCUAUUGGUAUCCUCAUUUUGACUCCUAGGAUAGGUUAGCACAUCUUGAACAAACUGUCGACGAUCUUGAACAAAGACUUCUUCUCAUGCCUGGUGAAGCUAGCUGGAGCAGACACUUCUGGAGCAUUAGGAGUACGGGCAGCCAAGGAGCAACCUAUGUGUAGGUGGCCAUAUCCUUUGGUAUAUGGGGUUGUGCCCCUUCUUGGGAGGAGAACCCUCGAGUUGACAUGAUACAUGAGGACUGGAGGAACGAUUGUGCUUGGACAACGAGGUGCGGUAAGACGCAAUAGCAGCCCGUGGACAGAUAAUCUCGAUCAAUGCGUGAAUAAAUGAUGCAUAGAUGCAUGAGUGCCGCAUAAGCACACAUUGUGGAAUCUCAUGAAAUAUGAAGUAAAGCACAUCCACCUUCUUCUUGUCUUGUGCAUAGACAAAGAAAUCGAUAGUGGUACUUCUCGUCAGAUGAGAAUCUCCAGCUUUAAAAGCUAGAGUGUACAAGAGAUGAAGCAUAAAGUGGCAUACACAUGUAUCAAGUCGGUCCAAAUAUGCGGGAUUGGCCUUAGUUUUGGUUGAGUUCAGGAUGUCGGGGCUGUUGUCCGGACAUCCGUAAACCUUCCCAACUUUGCUUUUGGAUUACGAAAAUCGAGACAUGUAGAGCAGCCUGCGGCCGUUUGAUGCACGGCGUUGGACGUCACAAAAUGUUCAGAUCGCGAGGCCCGGAUAUUUAACGGACGGUGGUAGAGAUACCCCGAGAAAGUAGACCUUUUGCUUUGCUCGACAGUAACAAUUCAGGCACACGAUAGCAGUCAGUCGAUUUCAACGGUCAGUAGGCGACGGACAGCGACUCGCACCGAGGGCGCGAGGGGCGGCAGGCAAGCACGGAACCACCUCGCGACACGCGGCUCCCACCACAGAGAGAGCACCGAGAGCCAAAGCGGAAAAAAGGGAGAAAUCUUGUGCACCGCCCCCCUCCCCCUCCCCCCAUGGGCAAGAACAAAACCAACUUUCCUUUGCGGCUGCCCACGGUCGUCUUCCACAACCUCCACUCCCUUCGCGCAGCCGCUACCCAGCUUCCGCUCCCUGCCUCAGCACCAGCCUAACCCGGCAGACGCCAAGGUCAAGCAACCGAGCGCAUAAAGCAAGCUCAGGAGCCAGAACCUUCCUCGAUCGACCAGCCACAGUCGGGCGGAACAAGAAUCAGGGCGACGACGCCGGGGGUUCUCCGCUUUCCGACGGCAAGCGAGGUGGCAGUGGCACCGGAGGGAUGGGCCUUUCGGCGGUGAGGCGUAACACGCCGCUCUUCUCCAAGUCGCCGGCGUCCCUGCUGCUGCUCUCCAAGCUGCUCACCCUCUACUGUUGAGCUCCCGGCGGGCGGCUGUUCCCUUCUUCUCGGUCGAGCGAGUCAUCCAUCCAUGGGCGCCGUGGGGUCGUCCGCGAGCCGGGGCGGGGGCACGGCGCUGGGGGACCUGCCGGAGAACUGCGUCGCCGAGGUGAUGCUCAGGCUGAACCCGACGGAGAUCUGCGGGAUGGCGCGGCUCAGCCGCACCUUCCGCGCCGCCGCGUCCGGGGACGCCGUCUGGGAGGCCAAGCUGCCGCGCAACUACGCGCGCCUCCUCGCCGCCGCCGCCGGAGACGAGGAGGCCGCCGCGUUGGAGGCGGAGGCCAUCCCCAAGAAGGAGGUGUACGCGCGGCUCUCCCGCCGCAACUCCCUCGACGGCGGCACCAAGGUGUGUACUUUGUCCCAUCUUUGCGGUGAACAUCGCCACUGUAUCUGUUAAAAAUAUUGAAAAUUUCCCCGCAAUUUCUUUUAAAAAUUUAUGACAAAACCUUGUGCAAAUCAGUAUGCCUGCAAAUUAAUAGAACUGCGGGGAUUUGAGUUUUGUUUGGGGGUAUUGUUUGUGUUAAUAAAGGUGCAGCAAUAUGAGUUUAUUUUGGGGUGAAGUUUGUGUUACUAAAGUGCAGGAAUUUGAGUUUAAAAUAAGGUUUACGGAGAAGUCUGAUUAGUUUCAACGCCGAUUUUGAAGAUGAACUUGUUUGAUUAAUUUGUUCUGUUUUCCUUGAAUUACUGUUUGCUAAUUUGUUAUUGCUACUGCAAAUGAAAUUCAGUAUCUGGUUCAUUGUGCAGGAGUUCUGGCUCGACAAGGCUGGUGGAGGCACCUGCAUGACAAUUUAUUCGAGGGCGCUUUCGAUAACAGGCAUCGAUGACAGGAGAUACUGGAACUUCAUUCCAAAUGAUGAAUCAAGGUGCUUUCAUCAAAACCAAAUACAACAGCUUAUAAUGGGCCUCAUUAAUAGAAACUUCAUGCCAUGACUUCUUUCUUUUUUGUUUGUGGAUGAGUAUCUGAAGUUCUGAACUCCGGGUGCGUAUCGCCGAAGCUGAGCAGCACUUCCCGCUAUUCGUAGUGCUCACUUGUCGUAUGUUAUAGCCACUUAAUAAGAACACCAAAUAGUGCAAACUACAUCAACUCUCCCUGUGUUCAACUCGUGUUACAAGUUGCAACUGACAGUUAGUUAGCUUGUCUUGAUAAUAAAAGCGAAAAGAAGGCGGGAUUGUGAACAACACACUACUUCCACAUGUCACCAACUAGGGGUGUGAUUAUCUGCAGUGGCCUCUGAAAUGUAUGCCAGUUGGGACAUGAUAAGCAGUAGUGGUUUCUGAUGAUGCAUUGGUGCCUUUCAUGUGAGAUAAUUGAGCAUGUUUGCUUUGUUAAUCAUGCCUUUCAUGUGAGAUAAUUGAGCAUGUUUGCUUUACUGGCAUACAACGACAACGCAUAUCCAUUUCAAAUACGGUACAAGUGUGUGUGGUUAUAGAGCCACAAUGUUCCAAACAUUUGGCAGAUAAGAGAAGUCCUGAUAAGCAUGUUGCUUUUUCUGCAGGUUCCGUUCGGUUGCUUAUCUGUCGCAAAUCUGGUGGUUUGAAGUCAGAGGGGAGGUUGAGUUCUGCUUCCCAGAAGGUACAUACAGCCUGUUUUUCCGAAUUCAUCUAGGCAGGCCUUUCAAGCGGCUCGGUCGCCGGGUUUACAGUGCCGAGCACAUCCAUGGGUGGGACGUCAAGCCGGUGCGCUUCCAGCUAUCGACUUCGGACGGGCAGCAGGCCCAGUCCAAGUGUUACCUAACUGAUCCAGGUGUCUGGAUCUAUCAUCAUGUCGGCGAUUUCGUCGUGAAGGACUCGAACGAGCCACUGAAUAUCCAGUUUGCAAUGGUUCAGAUAGAUUGCACACACACAAAAGGAGGCCUGUGUAUGGAUUCAGUGGUUAUAAAACCCAAAUGCCUUGCGCGGAAAAAGGGAACUGGAAGUUAUGAGUAGAUUUAGUGAGCACAUUAAGCUCGAUAUCUAUAGAAACUAUAUGGUUUUGCUUACUUCCUCCGUCGUGUGCUUGCGGCUGUCGGUAUUUUUUCAAUCCUGUAAUGUAAAUGUAAUUGGAGGGGUGAGUGAUCUUUUAUUUCCUCUUGUCCCUAUAGGAGCAUCAAGCAUGUCACACCUUGUAAAUUGUGAGUUUGUGACAGAUCUACAUGUUUGCCUUUGCUAUGUUCUGUGGCACCUGAUCCUUGUGUUCCAAACCUUGGUUGAAUCAAAUUCCCCUCAACUUCCUUUCUGGUCCAACAAAUCAAACAACAAUACAAGAAAUGUUUCAAGGAUUUGAAACUAUACAAAUCCUAUAUACUUAAAUAGUUUAUCUUCACUAACUCAAUUAUCUUAACAUGCAAUUAUGUCAACUCAGUAUGCCACCAUGUAUGUCCCAUAAAAUUUAAUCCUGUUAACAUGUAACUAUGUCAACCCACCAUGAGACUAUGCAGGGAAAGGACCACCUUAGCAUGCACCUUGCAUGCUAUUUAUAUUCGAUUUUUUGUACAACAAUAAAAAUAAUCAAAUAUAAUAAACUAUAUGCACUUUUGUUUUAGUCCUCAUACUAAAGUUUUGUACCGCCAAUUUUCAUAGAAAUAACUGCAUCGAAUUCAAAGCAAAGAGGCCCUGAAUAGCAAAACAAAAACACCGGUGGAAAAUUGUUUGUUGGGGACAUGUCAUUCCUUUGGGGCGUGUGGGUGGGGAUGGGGUGUGCUCAUGACAACAUAGCCAUUGCACAAAGGACGGCCUGUUCUGGUGCUAAACACCUGUUGCUGACACUGAGGAUGAGAUCAUGCGUGACAGCGAACCCAGAUAAGAUUUGUGAUGUUGGUUGCAUGACACCACACCCACACUUUACAACUUUAUACAACCAACCAGAGAAUGAUUAUUAAUCAGGGAAAGAACACCUUAAACUUUCUAAAAGAUGAGAUGCCAACAAGAACAUCUAUCAGCACAGGAAUCUACACCGGAUUGGAGUGGAUCAGUGUCAGCACUGGAUCAUGCUCCAUGAUUCAUUAUUAACUAUUAAUCAGUACCAUUUGCAGUCGAUCACCAUUGUUUAAGCAACCAAUGACACUGAGAUCCAAUGCUAAUUCCAGGAUCCAAGGAUAUUAAUAUGCAGUGGCGGACCAAGAAAUAAAAUGGAGGAUGUGCACACGUUAAGAAAACUGAAGUCUAUUGCAAUUAGCUUGCAUGGGCAUUAAAAAUAAGCUAAUUUUUACAUGGUGAAAAAAUAUCUUCCAAAAAUCUGGGUGUGCCAUGGCACACCUGGCACACCCCCUGGGUACGCCACUGUUAAUAUGGGUGUGCAGCCUUUGCUGUGCCCAAGCUGCAACAUCACUCAGAGAAGAGAAGGAUGGCAAAUAAAAUGUCCACUGAGAAGAUGCAGAGAUCCAGAUUCCACUAAAGCUCUCCUUGCUGAACAAAAGAACUAACUGAUACAGUAUUAAUUACUCUCCCUCCGUUCGGAAAUAAGUGAUCCAAAUUCCACUAGAAUUCAGAAAUUGAACUAAAACAACGUCACUUCUGGCGGAAGUAAUAGUAGGAAUGAGUUCCUACUCUAGAUUGGGAUCUGUGUGUUUCAGUUUCAUCUAGCAUCUGCUAAUAAAAUAGGUCAUUGCCUAGCUUCUGAUUCAGAAAAUCAUGCCCAAUUUUUUGCUGAAAUAAUUAAACAUAAAAGAAUAGUGUUACACGACAUGGAUAUAUUGUAGGCGAUUCGGGCUCACACAUACUCUACUAAUUUCCUUUUGUGCUUCCAGAAAAUUUCUAAAAAAAAAGUAUCCCGAAUGGAGAUAGUUAUAUGGUGAAAUGGUCAUGCUUCAUGAAAAAGCUCGCCUUUUUGUGGCCUGGGUGAAGAAAAAAGGACAUCACAUAUAGUUAUUUUUGACACUUCAUGCUUAUCAUCGUAACGCAGACCACAAAUGAACUCAUAUUCGCAGAACUUUGCGAAAAACACAGUUCAUUCCAUUAUAAUUUUUACAUGCAAGAUUUGUUCCCAAAAUUUUGGAAACCUCAGAACACACUUGUCUGAACCUUUCAAAGUCAAAAAGAGACGUCCUAUAUAAACAUUUACAAAUCUUGCUUCGGACUUUACACAGUGGGCUGAUGUAAAGACUGUGCAAGACAUAGCAAACCACAUCAUCUACUUAGCUGCUCCUGCUCGGUUGCAUUCUCGGAAAAUUGCGAACUAUAUAACCCACUGCCCGCACAUAUUUAUCAUUACCUUAAUGACAAAACAAAGUUGGGGGACAUCAAACAUGGCAUGAUCCGAAAUACAUUUGUUCUUAAAGCACGGUAGACCAUCAAGUAUUUUAUAGUAUAAUAGGCUAUAGGAGAGCAAGAUUGUCCAUUAUCAUGAUGCGGCGAGGAGGCCACAACGUCUCCACUAACAUCGCAAGUUAACCGAAUACCUCCUCAUUGCAGACUGGGCAUGCCUGAAUGAAAACAAAGGUGCAUAUAUCGGAAAAAGAAUCAGAUAAUCCUCUGAAUAUCAAACAACAGAGGAUUGUACACCAAGAUAUCAGACAACAGAGAAUUUUGAUAUGGAGUCCAGACAAUGUCUGCUUUUGUCCAGCGACAUGGCAGGUUAAUAUCAACAUUCAGCAUCUAUUCAUUGAGGACGAAAAACUUAUACUCCCUCCGUCCCAAAAUAAGUGUCUCAAGCUUAGUACAACUUUACAUUAAAGUUAGUACAAAGUUGAGUCACUUAUUUUGGGAUGGAGGGAGUAUUUGAAUUGUAGCAUACCAAAAUAAAAUCGAAUACUUAGAGAAGAAAAAAAAACUGAGUUUUACCUUGUUAAUCUUAAGCCAGCGAGUUAUGCAAUUUGCAUGGUAACAAUGGCUGCAGGGCAAUCUUAUCAACUUCUGUAGGCUUUUAUAGCUCGAUUUGCAGAUCACACAUCUGCAUGGGGGUAUCACACGAUUAUUGUUCAUCAUAGGGUUACAAAAUGAUGAUCGAUUCAGAGUAAAACUAACUGUCACGUACUCAUCGGUAUUCUUUUUGCAGGAGAAGAAGUUACAUUUGUUCCUAAAAGGCUCCAGGUAGCUGAUCAGGUCAUCAGAUAAUCCUCUGGACUGAGUUCCUACUUCUUCACCGAUUGCUUGCAGUUGCUACGAAUCACCAAAACAAUAGUGAAAAGUUGCUCAGAAAUGAGAUUUUUCAUGUGCUACAAGAUGUCAAUCAAAGUGUGUCUCUUUAUGCCCAAUUGUUUUUGAUGUCAAAUCAAGGGAACAAAGUAGUAGUAUAACACAACCUUAAACCUUUUGUAUGGGAGCAGGUAGUAUAUAUAAGUGAACUACAUUGGCACAAUAUGUGUUCAGAAAAUUGUUUGUUCUCUCAAAACCGUCAAAGAACGUUUACUCGGCAAAAGCAAAACAGCAUACCUCGUAUGACAUAUUAUCCGGAUCGACAUUAUCUUCUGUCGCCACCUGCAUAUGCAGAUUGUCAUCAACUCAUCAUUCCGUGACCCCUUCAAAAAAUUCAGUGCACACAUUUGGAAUCCCUUUCCAAGGAAUGUGCUGAUGAUCCCAAUGAGGCAACCAAAGGAAACAAAAGAGUAGAGAAGCAACAAACCUGAGCUGCAUUAUUGGCAGGCCUAUACUCAACAGCUGGUGAUGAUGGUUCCAAGGACACGCUGCCUAAAAACAAUGCACCAUCAACAUGUAGCACGCGUGAGCAUCAGUUGAUUACAGCUAAUGAAUCCACCUCAAACAACGCAAAAGAUGCUCGGAGAUUGGGAGUAGUAGCACCACUAUAUUAUUACCGGCAAAUUCCCUUGUAGCGAGCGAAUCCUCCUCCUCCUGCAGUUGCUUAGCCAAAGCCUCGUCCGAUUCGCACCAGGCCUCGAUCUUGUGGGUCUCCGAGGAGAGAUGGACGGCGUAGGUAUUCGGAGCUGCCAUUGCUGAACCGUGACGCUCCCCUGCAGCAAUUUGCAGCUGAUGAACACUGUGAUUAAUCAAUCAAUGCAACACUGCAGAUAGAAACCCUGUUCUGAUUAUCAAUUUAUCAUCUUAACUGAAGGAGCAUUCAGAAUUGCGUUCCGACUAAAUUACUAUAGAAGCUGAUGAUUGCAGUGCAUUAUUCCUCCUUGUAUUUCUAGACUGACUAAGAACAAAUUUUCAUCAAUUACUGGUGCUCUGGAAGAAAUAGAACAGCACACUCUCCAAAUAAAUACAGCUAAAUUAUACUACACUUGAAAAGAUCAGGCAGGGCUUUUCUAAAACCUAAAAGAGCUCGAAUUUCUAAAGAAGAAGAAGAAGAAGAAGAAGAAAAUCCAAUCUUGAUAUUCUUCUUAUCAUCGCCGAAUAGGCAGACGACAUGUUGGACACGCCGCUCCAAGAAGAAAAAGGGAAAAGGGGGGCAGAAUCGCAGAGUAUAUCCGGGCAAUCUUCGGCUGGCCGGAGAAGGGGAGGAAAGGGAUGGAGAGAGAGAGGCGAUUGCCCCCGAUCAAGCGCGCGCAAUUCACCCAACAAAUCUCGGAGGAACCCGACGGGGGUCGAGGAAUCGAUGUGUACCUUCCUCUGGAGAUGAGCGCAAGAACAGAGUGACGGCGCCGCCUCUGCCGCCCAGCCUCCGCCCCCUCCGCCUUCCCUGUCUCUCUCACCCGAGCCAGCCGUGCGCUGUUGCGCUACGGGCGAAAGCUUUAUGCUACCGACGUGGUCGCGGUUGCUCCGAAGUCAAAGUGAUGGAGACUACCUACUGGCUACUGGUAUGUAUGCUGCCCCCUUCUAUUCUCUUCUUUUUUGGCUUGUCUUGAUUUGCAUUCCCUCCUUCCUUUGUGUCCCUUGCUCUUGCCUUGGCUUUUCAUUCUUGUUUCCAUUCAAUCGAAUUGCAGUUGCCAGAUUUUUGUUGAGGGUAAACUUGAUUUCCAUAAUAAUCCGACAAAAUGACGUGGCGCAAAUAGAACGUAAGAUUACAAUGUCAUAUCCAUAUGGAUUAUGUAUGGUUGAAUCUACUACCAAGAAAAAAAUGCCGGUGAGAUAGGAUGAUCUCUGGUGAAUGCCCGAGUCAUGGUUCGAGAUGCAACGCUUGCGUGAGCACUUAUGUUUCCUUUCGAGUAAUAUAUCCUUUCGAGUAAGUUGUAAAAGCAAUUAUAACAUAGUCAUCAUAUCACGUGGAUAGCCAUAAUAACCGCCGGAUGAUGGUCGCAAGUCAAAAUGGGCGGUCUAGCAGAGUCGUUGUCGGCAUAAUAAAAACCGAACCGACAGAUGGAGCCCAAAUGCCCCGUCCAUAUACGGAAAAGGCACAUCGGAAUUUCAUUCCCCUAAAGAAUACUACAACAUCCAGAAGGAUAUUAUUCCAGUACAUACCCAUGGCCGCGUACAGAUCCUUGUGAAGACUUGCCCUAAGUAAAUCCCACCCCGGUUAAACUGAGUCCAAAAACAUCAGCCGUGACGCCCAGAGUGAGUGAUCGGUGUCCUGAGCAUCGGCACCAUGUGUCGUGUAUGCGAACGGAUCCCAUGGCCAUGGUGUGCCACAUCCCCGACUGUGCAUUUAAUGCGGGUAUAAUGACAGAUGGGACCCACAUGACAUGACAGACUGUCGGGUGCACUUGAGUACCUAACGACUACAUCACCAGGUUAUCCCCUGCAAAACCGAAGACAAAGAAGACUAUGCAAGGCGGGCGCUCACCAUUCUUUGUAAUGUCCAGACGUACAAGUGUGCCAUUGUGGUACCCCGGGCCUAUAUAAGGGGAGGGUCAUGGCCAUUUAUAGAGGAUCGAACAAGAAAGCCACAUCACAAGCAACACGAGAUCCAAGAUCACUAGCUAGAGGAGAUAGGAAGAAGAACUGGUGCUCAGGCAACAUGAGUCUAUACCCCGAGCGCCCCAUUUAGCCACCAUGAGCACCGUAUUGCAUCUCAUAUACAUAUCAAGCCAACCAAGAACAGGAGUAGGGUGUUACGCUAUCGCUAGCAGUCUAAACCUGUAGAAAUCUUUGUGUCUCUCUUAUAGCUUACUCGAAGAAACACAGAGCAUUUUAUCACUUGGCCGAACACACAAAAACAAAGUAUCCUCAAUCCCGGACGUCUUGAGUAUACACUCCGACAGUCGCCCCAUACGCCCCCAGCUUACAUAAUCUAUGGAGGCCACUCCAAAUCGAGCCCUCUAGCCUCUAUAUUUGAAGGCUAGGUUCGUUGACAUGGAACAGCCUCCAAAAGUAACCUCUGGCGCAGGGGGAAGUUUCAGCCCAGCCUCUUCCUCCCGCCCGGAGCCCGGUCAUUGGUGCUUUCGUAUGCUUGGCGCUUCCACCCUUACUAAUGACGCGACCAUUUUCCCAUCGGGACGAGCGUCAAUAAAUGGCCACCACCUUGUUUCACACUCGUUUUCCACCCCCGUGCAUGUCAAAUAUGGCUUUGUUUCCCGCCGAAGCACGCCCAUUCGCAGGUAUAUAAAACGGACCACUUCACUCGACGACGCCACUCAACCAUCUGCCAUCUUUGACAACACCGGUCUGCCCCUCUAUAUUCCCCUUCCACGACGUCGUCACACUCAUCCCCAUCUACCAUAUCAUGGCAGUUGCGCCCUCUUUUGGACUUUUCCCUGGCGAGACCGAAGAGGACUAGAUCAAAGAGAGUCCUGUGAGUGGGCGUGUAACUACUCCCAAUGGGUCGAGGAGGACACAUCCAUAAGGUUGAAUCAGCUGUCGGUUUGGGGCGCCUCCCCGCCGCUCUCUGCUACUUUGUCUGAAUGUUAGCAGCCUGAUAACCCACAAGUAUAGGGGAUCGCAACAGUUUUCGAGGGUAGAGUAUUCAACCCAAAUUUAUUGAUUCGGCACAAUGGGAGCCAAAGAAUAUUCUCAAGUAUUAGCAGCUGAGUUGUCAAUUCAACCACACCUGGAAACGUAAUAUCUACAGCAAGGUAUUUAGUAGCAAAAUAAUAUGAUAGUAGUGGUAACGAUAACAGAAGUAACGGUAGCAAAAGUAAUAUUUUUGGUGUUUUAUAGUGAUUGUAACAAUAGCAACAGAAAAGUAAAUAAGCGAAGAGCAAUAUAUGGAAAUCUCAUAGGCAAUGGAUCGGUGAUAGAUAAUUAUGUCGGAUGUGAUCGAUCAUGUAAUAGUCAUAACCUAGGGUGACACAGAACUAGCUCUAGUUCAUCAAUAUAAUGUAGGCAUGUAUUCCGAAUAUAGUCAUACGUUCUUAUGGAAAAGAACUUGCAUGACAUCUUUUGUCCUACCCUCCCAUGGCAGCGGGGUCCUAUUGGAAACUAGGGGAUAUUAAGGCCUCCUUUUAAUAGAGUAUCAGACCAAAGCAUUAACACAUAGUGAAUAUAUGAACUCCUCAAACUACGGUCAUCACUGGGAGUGGUCCCGACUACUGUCACUUCGGGCUUGCCGGAUCAUAACACAUAGUAGGUGACUAUAGACUUGCAAGAUAGGAUCAAGAACUCUCAUAUAUUGAUGAAAACAUAAUAGGUUCAGAUCUUAAAUUAUGGCACUCGGGCCCUAGUGAAAAGCAUUAAGCAUAGCAAAUGCAUAGCAACAUCAAUCUCAGAACAUAGUGGAUACUAGGGAUCAAACCGUAACAAAACUAACUCGAUUACAUGAUAAAUCUCAUCCAACCCAUCACCGUCCAGCAAGCCUACGAUGGAAUUACUCACGCACGGCGGUGAGCAUCAUGAAAUUGGUGAUGGAGGAAGGUUGAUGAUGACGAUGGCGACGGAUUCCCCUCUCUGGAGCCUCGAACGGACUCCAGAUCAGCCCUCUCGAGAGAGUUUAGGGCUUGGCGGCGGCUCCGUAUCGUAAAACGCGAUGAAUCCUUCUCUCUGGUUUUUUCUCCCUGAAAGUGAAUAUAUGGAGUCAAGGUUGAGUUCGGUGGAGCGUCAGGGGGCCCACGAGGCAGGGGGCAGGCGCCCCCCCACCCUCGUGGACAGGUGGAGCCCCCCUAACGUGGAUUCUUCUUCCAGUAUUUUUUAUAUAUUCCAAAAUAAUUCUCCGUUGAUUCUCAGGUCAUUCCGAGAACUUUUAUUUCUGCACAAAAAUAACACCAUGACAAUUCUGCUGAAAACAGCGUCAGUCCGGGUUAGUUCCAUUCAAAUCAUGCAAGUUAGAGUCCAAAACAAGGGCAAAAGUGUUUAGAAAAGUAGAUACGAUGGAGACGUAUCACAACCACCUUGGCAGAAAUGGACGUUGCGCUCAUGCUUGGCUUAAAAAAUAUGACCGCGUAUGUGUCCAUCAACCACAUGUUGCGAAAGUCGCCACAGCCGAAGCCUCCCCGCCAGUGAGGUCACUUCCAAAUGGAGGAAGAGCCCACAGUCCAAAUUAUAGAAAAGAAUAGUAGUUUAAAUGGUUGUUCAAAUCUUUGUCAUUGUUGUUGGAUUCAAUGUUGAUCCAUCAGAAACAACGUCCAUUGUUGAGAUGAGGUAGCAAGAGGUCUUAUAUCCAAUGGCAAACAUGUCUCACAUGGAUUUUUUUUAAGUUGAUUUAUGUAGAUUUUGCAUUUAUGCAUCACCUCGGCAGUCUGUAUAGUAUUAUGAAACACACUCCAAUACGUGUGAUUGAGGAUGCGAACAUAGUGACUCUACUAGAGUUGCUCUUGCUCCAAUACUUUUUUGAAAGGAGGCAAAAGACUUGCCUCAUUCAUUAAUUAAGAGGGGGAAAAGGAGUUUAAAGUUUGUGUUACAACACCACUACAACAGGCCUACUCUCACGGCAUUAUAGAUCCCAAUUUCUUUGCACCCGCGGUGACCCAAGUUUGAGCCUCAAUCUUGAUGUUAGCUAGUAGAACCGUCGGUGGGGCACUCUUGAGUUGGAAGAUGCGAGCGCUCCUUUCAUUCCAGAUUGUCCAAGAGGUGAGCAUAGAGAGGGUAGCCAUGGCCUUCCUAUUAGGUAUGGUAGAGUCGUGAGCCCGAUCCACCACUCUUUGGUUGACCGUGCCAAGUGCCAAGUGGAAGUGUUGAUGCUUUCGAGCUGGAGCCAAUCUUUUAUCAUUUACUAAAGUCUAGUAGUGUACCGACAUUUGAAGAGGAGGUGAUCGAUGGACUCUUGCAUGAGCUUGCAAAAAGGACAAAGCCCACAAUUGGGCCACCCCCGGUUGGCCAACCAGUCAGCAGUCCAUACCCUAUUUUUGCAUGGACAACCAUGCGAAAAAUUUGACCUUGGGCAGGGCCCAGGCCUUCCACACUGCAAGCUCCAUGGGUGAGCGGAUGUUCCCAAAAAACUGGGCCAAGUAGGCGGACUCGGCACUGUAAAUCCCGCUCUUUGUGUGUUUCCACACAAUGUCGUCUUCGGCGUGAACCUCAAGAGGGAAGUCGCGGAUGGUGGACCAAAGCUCAAUAAAUUGUCGAAGAUGUUUGGAGGUGAAGUUGGGAGUGACCUUGAUCUUGCGAAUCCAAGCAUCAUCUUGGAGGGCUUCCCGAAGUUUCCAUGUCUUCCGAGAGGAAGCGGCGUAGAUAAGCGGUGUGAUGUCUCUUGGCUUGCGGUCCCGCACCCAAGGGGAGUCCCAGAAGGGCGUGCGCUCACCGUUGCCAAUGGUUAUGGUCGUUGAAGCAUAGAAAAGAUUUUUGUCCAUCUCAUCGCAUGGAUUGCUGAUCCCAACCCAUAGCUUGGUGAGUUCCUUCCAUUCAAACCAAAGCCAACAUAAGCGAAGUGCCCUUGCAAAUUUCUCUGUGUUUAGCACCCCAAGACCUCCAUAUUCGACCGGUCGACAUACAGAUUCCUAAUUAACUUUGCACUUCAUGCCGGUAGUCUUAUCUGUUCCCGCCCAAAGGAAAGCUCUCUCAAGCUUGUUGACAUUGUGGAGGAUGCUUGGUGGAACGAUCAAUGGGGUGAUGAAGUAGAUGGCUUGUGAGGAUAGCACAGACUUGACAAGGGCAGCCCGACCAAUGGUUGUGAUAUUUUUCCCAUCCCAAGGAACAAGUUUGGAAUUGUCCACAAGGAAUUGGAAAUCCUGAAUUUUUAGUUGCCAGACUGAGAGAGGUAGCCCUAGAUAUUUUAUUGGGAAUGAAGCCCAGGCAGCAGGAAAAUUCUGGAGGAUGGUGUCGAGGUGUAGGUGCCUGCACCGAAUCGGGACCAUCGAGCUCUUUUGGAAGUUAGUGCAUAGUCCCGUGAUGUCACCAAACGCAUCGAGCAACACAGAGAGGUUGUCAAUAUCUUUCUUGAUGGGUGCAAUGAAAACGACCGCGUCAUCAGCAUAGAGGGGUGUUCUCAUGAUGGGCCCACGCCCAUGGAUUUUGUGGAGCAACCCCUUCCUAGUAGCCAGCCCGAGGAUCUUUUGAAGGGGAUCAAUGGCAAUGACAAAUAGUAGGGGCGAAAGAGGAUCCCCUUGCCGGAAGCCGCUUCCAUGGGCAAUGGGGCUGCCGGGGAUGCCGUUGAGGAGAACUCGCAAGGAGGAGGUGCAUAAGAGGGCAGUGAUCCAAUUCCGAAAGGUGCUCGGGAACCCCCUCUAUUGGAGGAUGUCAAUGAUAUACUCCCAUCUCACAGAGUCAAAAGCCUUUCGCAUAUCAAGCUUGAAAAGGAGGGAUCGAGUUUGCUCUUGUGAAGGCAACACGCGAGAUUUUUCACAUACAUGAAAUUGUCAUGGAUACUCCUAGUCUUGACAAAAGCACUUUGCGUGUUGGAGACAAGCUUGUUCAUGUGAGGGGCUAGCCGAAUUGGUAAAUUUUUUGCCACAAUCUUUGCAAUCGCGUGGAUGAGGCUAAUAGGCCGGAAGUCAGUGAUCCCCUCAGCACCCUCCUUCUUAGGAAUUAGUACAAUGUUUGCAGAGUUAAACCAGUGGAGGUUUGCCGUGUGCAGGUUUCCAAAAAGAGAGACUACCCUCAUGAUGUCAUCCUUGAUAAUGUCCCAACAACUCUUGAAGAACAAACAUGUGAAACGGUCUGGCCCGGGGGCUUUGUCGGUUGGCAUUUGCUUAAUGGCCUCGUGCACCUCCUCCGCGGUGAUGGGGUCCGCGAGGGAGUCCAAGUCGUGUACCUCUAAGCCGAGCUCUUCCCAAUUGAAGUCAUGAUACUUCCAUUUUGCAUCAUACUUUUAUAUCAAUAUUUAUUGCAUUAUGGGCUGUUAACACAUUAUGUCACAAUACUUAUGCCUAUUCUGUCUUAUUUUACAAGGUUUCCAUAAAGAGGGAGAAUGCCGGCAGCUGGGAUUCUGGGCUGGAAAAGGAGCAAAUAUUAGAUACCUAUUCUGCACAGCUCCAAAAGUCCUGAAACUUCACAGAAGACGUUUUCCAAAUAUAUAAAAAAUACUUAGAGCAAGAACUUCACCAGGGGGCCACACCCUGCCCACGAGGGUGGGGCGCGCCCUACCCCCCUGGGCGUGCCCCCUACCUCGUGGGCCCCCUGUUGGCCCUCCGGUGGCCAUCUUCUGCUAUAUGAAGUCUUUCGAUGGGAAAAAAUCAUAAGCCAUCUUCUCGGACGAAACUCCGCCGCCACGAGGCGGAACCUUGGCGGAACCAAUCUAGGGCUCUAGCAGAGCUGUUCUGCCGGGGAAACUUCCCUCCCGGAGGGGAAAUCAUCGCCAUCAUCAUCACCAACGCUCCUCUCAUCGGGAGAGGGAAAUCUCCAUCAACAUCUUCAUCAGCACCAUCUCAUCUCAAAACCCUAGUUCAUAUCUUGUAUCCAAUUCUUGUCUCCAAGUCUGGGAUUGAUGCUAGUAGGUUGCUAGUAGUGUUAAUUACUCCUUGUAGUUGAUGCUAGUUGGUUUAAUUGGUGGAAGAUCAUAUGUUCAGAGCCUAUAUGCAUAUUAAUACCCCUCUGAUUAUGAACAUGUUUAUGCUUUGUGAGUAGUUACUUUUGUUCCUGAGGACAUGGGAGAAGUCUUGCUAUUAGUAGUCAUGUGAAUUUGGUAUUCGUUCGAUAUUUUGAUGAGGUGUAUGUUGUCUCUCCUCUAGUGGUGUUAUGUGAACGUCGACUACAUGACACUUCACCAUUAUUUGGGCCUAGAGGAAGGCAUUGGGAAGUAAUAAGUAGAUGAUGGGUUGCUAGAGUGACAGAAGCUUAAACCAUAGUUUAUGCGUUGCUUCAUAAGGGGCUGAUUUGGAUCCAUAUGUUUCAUGCUAUGGUUAGGUUUACCUUAAUACUUUUGUUGUAGUGGCGGAUGCUUGUAAUAGAGGUUAAUCAUAAGUGGGAUGCUUGUCCAAGUAAGGACAAUACCCAAGCACCGGUCCACCCACAUACCAAAUUAUCAAAGUACCGAACGCGAAUCAUAUGAGCGUGAUGAAAACUAGCUUGACGAUAUUCCCAUGUGUCCUCGGGAGCGCUUUACAUCAUAUAAGAGUUUGUCCAGGCUUGUCCUUUGCUACAAAAAGGAUUGGUGUUGGAAAUAUGCCCUAGAGGCAAUAAUAAAAGUAUUAUUAUAUUUCAUUGUUCAUGAUAAUUGUCUUUUAUUCAUGCUAUAACUGUAUUAUCCGGAAAUCGUAAUACACGUGUGAAUACUUAGACCACACUAUGUCCCUGGUAAGCCUCUAGUUGACCAGCUCGUUGUGAUCAACAGAUAGUCAUGGUUUCCUGACUAUGGACAUUGGAUGUCGUUGAUAACGGGAUCACAUCAUUAGGAGAAUGAUGUGAUGGACAAGACCCAAUCCUAAGCAUAGCAUAAAAGAUCGUGUAGUUCGUUUUGCUAGAGCUUUGCAAGUGUCAAGUAUCUCUUCCUACGACCAUGAGAUCGUGUAACUCCCGGAUACCGUAAGAGUGCCUUGGGUGUAUCAAACGUCACAACGUAACUGGGUGACUAUAAAGGUGCAUUACAGGUAUCUCCGAAAGUAGCUGUUGGGUUGACACGGAUCGAGACUGGGAUUUGUCACUCCGUAUGACGGAGAGGUAUCUCUGGGCCCACUCGGUAAUGCAUCAUCAUAAUGAGCUCAAUGUGACCAAGCUGUUGGACACGGGAUCAUGCAUUACGGUACGAGUAAAGUGACUUGCCGGUAACGAGACUGAACAAGGUAUUGGGAUACCGACGAUCGAGUCUCGGGCAAGUAACGUACCGAUUGACAAAGGGAAUUGAAUACAGGGUUUGAUCGAAUCCUCGACAUCGUGGUUCAUCCGAUGACAACAUCGAGGAGCAUGUGGGAGCCAUCAUGGGUAUCCAGAUCCCGCUGAUGGUUAUUGACUGAGAGCGUCUCGGUCAUGUCUGCAUGUCUCCCGAACCCGUAGGGUCUACACACUUAAGGUUCGGUGACGCUAGGGUUAUGAAGAUAUGUAUAUGCAGAAACCCGAAUGUUGUUCGGAGUCCCGGAUGAGAUCCCGGACGUCACGAGGAGUUCCGGAAUGGUCCGGAGGUAAAGAAUUAUAUAUAGGAAGUGCUGUUUCGGGCACCGGGACAAGUUUCGGGGUUAUCGGUAUUGUACCGGGACCACCGGAAGGGUCCCGGGGGUCCACCGGGUGGGGCCACCUGUCCCGGGGGGCCACAUGGGCUGUAGGGGGUGCGCCUUGGCCAUCAUGGGCCAAGGGCACCAGCCCCUAUAGGCCCAUGCACCUAGGGUUUCCCCCUAGGAGGAGUCCUAGUGGUGGAAGGCACCCCUAGGUGCCUUGGGGGGGAGGGAAACCUCCCCUAGGCCGCCGCCCCCCCUAGUAGAUCUCAUCUACUAGGGCCGGCGCCCCCCCUUGGCACCCCUAUAUAUAGUGGGGGGGGGAGAGGAGGAGAACACACCAGCCCCUGGCGCCUCCACCUCCCCCCGUUACGUCUCUCCCUCGUAGUCUCGGCAAAGACCUGCUGCUGUGACGCCCUGCAUCCACCACCACGCCGUCGUGCUGCUGGAUCUUCAUCAACCUCUCCUUCCCCCUUGCUGGAUCAAGAAGGAGGAGACGUCUCCCGUCCCGUACGUGUGUUGAACGCGGAGGUGCCGUCCGUUCGGCGCUGGUCAUCGGUGAUUUGGAUCACGUCGAGUACGACUACAUCAUCACCUUGCAAGCUUCCGCACGCGAUCUACAAGUGGUAUGUAGAUGCAAACUCUCUCCCUAGACUCGUUGCUUAGAUGAACUCAUAGAUGGAUCUUGGUGAAACCGUAGGAAAAAUUUUAAUUUUCUGCAACGUUCCCCAACAGUGGCAUCAUGAGCUAGGUCUAUGCGUAGUUCUCUUUGCACGAGUAGAACACAACUUUGUUGUGGGCGUGGAUUCUGUCAUCUUACUUGCCUCUACUAGUCUUUUCUUGCUCAACGGUAUUGUGGGAUGAAGCGGCCCGGACCAACCUUACACGUACACUUACGUGAGACCGGUUCCACCGACUGACAUGCACAAGUUGCAUAAGGUGGCUGGCGGGUGUCUGUCUCUCCAACCUUAGUUGGAGCGGAAUCGAUGAACAGGGCCCUUAUGAAGGGUAAAUAGAAGUUGACAAAAUCACGUUGUGGUGAUUCGUAGGUAAGAAAACGUUCUUGCUAGAACCCAAUUGCAGCCACGUAAAAGAUGCAACAACAAUUAGAGGACGUCUAACUUGUUUUUGCAGCGAUUGAUCAUGUGAUGUGAUAUGGCCAGAAGUUGUGAUGAAUGAUGAAUUGUGAUGUAUGAGAUCAUGUUCUUUGUAAUAGGAUUCACGACUUGCAUGUCGAUGAGUAUGACAACCGGCAGGAGCCAUAGGAGUUGUCAUUAUUUUUUGUAUGACCUGCAUGUCAUUGAAUAACGUCAUGUAAACUACUUUACUUUAUUGCUAAACGUUAGUCAUAGAAGUAGAAGUAGUCGUUGGCGUGACAACUUCAUGAAGACACGAUGAUGGAGAUCAUGAUGAUGGAGAUCAUGGUGUCAAGCCGGUGACAAGAUGAUCAUGGAGCCCCGAAGAUGAAGAUCAAUGGAGCUAUAUGAUAUUGGCCAUAUCAUGUCACAACUAUAUAAUUGCAUGUGAUGUUUAUUAUGUAUUAUGCAUCUUGUUUACUUAGGACGACGGUAGUAAAUAAGAUGAUCCCUUAUAAAAUUUCAAGAAGUGUUCUCCCCUAACUGUGCACCGUUGCUACAGUUCGUCGUUUCUAAGCACCACAUGAUGAUCGGGUGUGAUGGAUUCUUACGUUCACAUACAACGGGUGUAAGACAGUUUUACACAGCGAAAACACUUAGGGUUAACUUGACGAGCCUAGCAUGUGCAGACAUGGCCUCGGAACACGGAGACCGAAAGGUCGAACACGAAUCGUAUAGAAGAUACGAUCAACAUGAAAAUGUUCACCGACGAUGACUAGUCCGUCUCACGUGAUGAUCGGACACGGGCUAGUCGACUCGGAUCGUGUAACACUUAGAUGACUAAAGGGAUGUCUAAAUCUAAGUGGGAGUUCAUAAUUUGAUUAGAACUUUAUUAUCAUGAACUUAGUCUAAAACCUUUGCAAAUAUGUCUUGUAGAUCAAUGGCCAACGCUAAUGUCAACAUGAACUUCAACGUGUUCCUAGAGAAAACCAAGCUGAAAGAUGAUGGCAGCAACUAUACGGACUGGGUCCGGAACCUGAGGAUCAUCCUCAUAGCUGCCAGGAAACAAUAUGUCCUAGAAGGACCGCUAGGUGACGCUCCCGUCCCAGAGAACCAAGACAUUAUGAAUGCUUGGCAGUCUCGCGCUGAUGAUUACUCCCUCGUUCAGUGCGGCAUGCUUUACAGCUUAGAACCGGGGCUCCAAAAGCGUUUUGAGCAUCACAGAGCAUAUGAGAUGUUCGAAGAGCUGAAACUAGUUUUCCAAGCUCAUGCCCGGGUCGAGAGAUAUGAUGUCUCCGACAAGUUCUACAGUUGUAAGAUGGAGGAAAACAGUUCUGUCAGUGAGCACAUCCUGAAGAUGUCUGGGUUGCACAACCAUAUGACCCAGCUGAACAUUAACCUCCCAGAUGAGGCGGUCAUUGACAGAAUCCUCCAGUCGCUCCCACCAAGCUACAAGAGCUUUGUGAUGAACUACAACAUGCAGGGGAUGGAAAAGACCAUUCCUGAAGUGUUCUCGAUGCUGAAGUCAGCAGAGGCUGAAAUCAAGAAAGAACAUCAAGUGUUGAUGGUCAAUAAGACCACUAAGUUCAAGAAGGGCAAGGGUAAGAAGAACUUCAAGAAGAACGGCAAAGAUGUUGCCGCGCCUGGUAAGCCAGUUACCGGGAAGAAGUCAAAGAAUGGACCCAAGCCUGAGACUGAGUGCUUUUAUUGCAAGGGGAAGGGUCACUGGAAGCGGAACUGCCCCAAAUACUUAGCGGAUAAGAAGGCCGGCAACACCAAAGGUAUAUUUGAUAUACAUGUGAUUGAUGUGUACCUUACCAGUAAUCGUAGUAACUCCUGGGUAUUUGAUACCGGUGCCGUUGCUCAUAUUUGUAACUCACAGCAGGAGCUGCGGAAUAAACGGAGACUGGCAAAGGACGAGGUGACGAUGCGCGUCGGGAAUGGUUCCAGAGUCGAUGUGAUCGCCGUCGGCACGCUGCCUCUACAUUUACCUACGGGAUUAGUUUUGAACCUUAAUAAUUGUUAUUUAGUGCCAAGUUUGAGCAUGAACAUUGUAUCAGGAUCUCAUUUAAUACGAGAUGGCUACUCAUUUAAGUCUGAGAAUAAUGGUUGUUCGAUUUAUAUGAGAGAUAUGCUUUAUGGUCAUGCUCCGAUGGUCAAUGGUUUAUUCUUAAUGAAUCUCGAGCAUAAUAUUACACAUGUUCAUAGUGUAGAUGCCAAAAGAUUUAAAGUUGAUAACGAUAGUCCCACAUACUUGUGGCACUGCCGCCUUGGUCACAUUGGUGUCAAGCGCAUGAAGAAGCUCCAUGCCGAUGGACUUUUAGAGUCUCUUGAUUAUGAAUCGUUUGACACAUGCGACCAUGCCUCUUGGGCAAAAUGACCAAGACUCCGUUCUCCGGAACAAUGGAGCGAGCAACCAACUUGUUGGAAAUCAUACAUACCGAUGUGUGCGGUCCAAUGAGCGUUGAGGCUCGCGGAGGAUAUCGUUAUGUUCUCACUCUCACAGAUGACUUGAGUAGAUAUGGGUAUGUCUACUUAAUGAAACACAAGUCUGAGACCUUUGAAAAGUUCAAGGAAUUUCAGAAUGAGGUGGAGAAUCAACGUGACCGAAAGAUAAAAUUCUUACGAUCAGAUCGUGGAGGAGAAUACUUAAGUCACGAAUUUGGUACACACUUAAAGAAAUGUGGAAUCGUUUCACAGCUCACGCCGCCUGGAACACCUCAGCGAAACGGUGUGUCCGAACGUCGUAAUCGCACUCUAUUGGAUAUGGUGCAGUCUAUGAUGUCUCUUACCGAUUUACCGCUAUCAUUUUGGGGAUACGCUCUAGAGACAGCUACAUUCACUUUAAAUAGGGCACCGUCUAAAUCCGUUGAGACGACACCGUAUGAACUAUGGUUUGGAAAGAAACCUAAGCUGUCGUUUCUAAAAGUUUGGGGAUGCGAAGCUUAUGUCAAGAAACUUCAACCUGAAAAGCUCGAACCCAAGUCGGAAAAAUGCGUAUUCAUAGGAUACCCUAAGGAAACUGUAGGGUAUACCUUCUACUUAAGAUCCGAAGGCAAGAUCUUUGUUGCCAAGAACGGAUGCUUUCUGGAAAAAGAGUUUCUCUCGAAAGAAGUAAGUGGGAGGAAAGUAGAACUCGAUGAAGUACUACCUCUUGAGCGGGAUAGUGACGCAGCACAGGAAACCGUUCCUGUGAUGCCCAUACCAACUGAAGAGGAAAACCAUGAUAAUGAUCAAGGUACUUCGGAUCAAGUUACUGCUGAACUUCGUAGGUCCACAAGGACACGUUCCGCACCAGAGUGGUACGGCAACCCUGUCCUGGAAAUCAUGUUGUUAGACAACAAUGAACCUUCGAACUAUGAAGAAGCAAUGGCGGGCCCGGAUUCCAACAAAUGGCUUGAAGCCAUGAAAUCCGAGAUAGAAUCCAUGUAUGAAAACAAAGUAUGGACUUUGACAGACUUGCCCGAUGAUCGGCGAGCGAUAGAAAACAAAUGGAUCUUUAAGAAGAAGACGGACGCGGAUGGUAAUGUUACCAUCUAUAAAGCUCGACUUGUCGCUAAGGGUUAUCGACAAGUUCAAGGGAUUGACUACGACGAGACAUUCUCUCCCGUAGCGAAGCUAAAGUCCGUCCGAAUCAUGUUAGCAAUUGCCGCAUACUAUGAUUAUGAGAUAUGGCAGAUGGACGUCAAAACAGCAUUCCUUAACGGGCAUCUUAAGGAAGAACUGUAUAUGAUGCAGCCGGAAGGUUUUGUCGAUCCUCGGAACGCUAACAAAGUAUGCAAGCUCCAGCGAUCCAUUUAUGGACUGGUGCAAGCAUCUCGGAGUUGGAACAUUCGCUUUGAUGAGAUGAUCAAAGCGUUUGGGUUUAUGCAGACUUAUGGAGAAGCCUGCGUUUACAAGAAAGUGAGUGGGAGCUCUAUAGCAUUUCUCAUAUUAUAUGUAGAUGACAUACUCCUGAUGGGAAAUAAUAUAGAAUUUCUGGACAGCAUUAAGGCCUACUUGAAUAAGUGUCUUUCAAUGAAGGACCUUGGAGAAGCUGCUUAUAUAUUAGGCAUCAAGAUCUAUAGAGAUAGAUCGAGACGCCUCAUAGGUCUUUCACAAAGCACAUACCUUGAUAAGAUUUUGAAGAGAUUCAGAAUGGAUCAGUCCAAGAAGGGGUUCUUGCCUAUGUUACAAGGUAUGAGACUGAGCUCAGCUCAGUCACCGACCACGGCAAAAGAUAAAGAAGAGAUGAGUGUCAUCCCCUAUGCUUCAGCCAUAGGAUCUAUUAUGUAUGUCAUGCUGUGUACCAGACCCGAUGUAAACCUUGCCGUAAGUUUGGUAGCAAGAUACCAAAGUAAUCCCGGCAAGGAACACUGGACAGCGGUCAAGAAUAUCCUGAAGUACCUGAAAAGGACAAAGGACAUGUUUCUCGUUUAUGGAGGAGACGAAGAGCUCGUCGUAAAGGGUUACGUCGACGCUAGCUUCGACUCAGAUCUGGAUGACUCUAAAUCACAAACCGGAUACGUGUAUAUGUUGAAUGGUGGAGCAGUAAGCUGGUGCAGCUGCAAGCAGAGCGUCGUGGCGGGAUCUACGUGUGAAGCGGAGUACAUGGCAGCCUCGGAGGCAGCACAUGAAGCGAUUUGGGUGAAGGAGUUCAUCACCGACCUAGGAGUCAUACCCAAUGCGUCGGGGCCGAUCAAACUCUUCUGUGACAACACUGGAGCUAUUGCCCUCACAAAGGAGCCCAGGUUUCACAAGAAGACCAGGCACAUCAAGCGUCGUUUCAACUCCAUCCGUGAAAAUGUUCAAGAUGGAGACAUAGAGAUUUGCAAAGUGCACACGGAUCUGAAUGUCGCAGAUCCGCUGACUAAACCUCUCUCGCGUGCAAAACAUGAUCAACACCAGAACUCUAUGGGUGUUCGAUUCAUCACAAUGUAACUAGAUUAGUGACUCUAGUGCAAGUGGGAGACUAUUGGAAAUAUGCCCUAGAGGCAAUAAUAAAAGUAUUAUUAUAUUUCAUUGUUCAUGAUAAUUGUCUUUUAUUCAUGCUAUAACUGUAUUAUCCGGAAAUCGUAAUACACGUGUGAAUACUUAGACCACACAAUGUCCCUGGUAAGCCUCUAGUUGACCAGCUCGUUGUGAUCAACAGAUAGUCAUGGUUUCCUGACUAUGGACAUUGGAUGUCGUUGAUAACGGGAUCACAUCAUUAGGAGAAUGAUGUGAUGGACAAGACCCAAUCCUAAGCAUAGCAUAAAAGAUCGUGUAGUUCGUUUUGCUAGAGCUUUGCAAGUGUCAAGUAUCUCUUCCUACGACCAUGAGAUCGUGUAACUCCCGGAUACCGUAAGAGUGCCUUGGGUGUAUCAAACGUCACAACGUAACUGGGUGACUAUAAAGGUGCAUUACAGGUAUCUCCGAAAGUAGCUGUUGGGUUGACACGGAUCGAGACUGGGAUUUGUCACUCCGUAUGACGGAGAGGUAUCUCUGGGCCCACUCGGUAAUGCAUCAUCAUAAUGAGCUCAAUGUGACCAAGGUGUUGGACAUGGGAUCAUGCAUUACGGUAUGAGUAAAGUGACUUGCCGGUAACGAGACUGAACAAGGUAUUGGGAUACCGACGAUCGAGUCUCGGGCAAGUAACGUACCGAUUGACAAAGGGAAUUGAAUACAGGGUUUGAUCGAAUCCUCGACAUCGUGGUUCAUCCGAUGACAACAUCGAGGAGCAUGUGGGAGCCAUCAUGGGUAUCUAGAUCCCGCUGAUGGUUAUUGACUGAGAGCGUCUCGGUCAUGUCUGCAUGUCUCCCGAACCCGUAGGGUCUACACACUUAAGGUUCGGUGACGCUAGGGUUAUGAAGAUAUGUAUAUGCAGAAACCCGAAUGUUGUUCGGAGUCCCGGAUGAGAUCCCGGACGUCACGAGGAGUUCCGGAAUGGUCCGGAGGUAAAGAAUUAUAUAUAGGAAGUGCUGUUUCGGGCACCGGGACAAGUUUCGGGGUUAUCGGUAUUGUACCGGGACCACCGGAAGGGUCCCGGGGGUCCACCGGGUGGGGCCACCUGUCCCGGGGGGCCACAUGGGCUGUAGGGGGUGCGCCUUGGCCAUCAUGGGCCAAGGGCACCAGCCCCUAUAGGCCCAUGCGCCUAGGGUUUCCCCCUAGGAGGAGUCCUAGUGGUGGAAGGCACCCCUAGGUGCCUUGGGGGGGAGGGAAACCUCCCCUAGGCCGCCGCCCCCCCUAGUAGAUCUCAUCUACUAGGGCCGGCGCCCCCCCUUGGCACCCCUAUAUAUAGUGGGGGGGAGAGGAGGAGAACACACCAGCCCCUGGCGCCUCCACCUCCCCCCGUUACGUCUCUCCCUCGUAGUCUCGGCGAAGCCCUGCUGCUGUGACGCCCUGCAUCCACCACCACGCCGUCGUGCUGCUGGAUCUUCAUCAACCUCUCCUUCCCCCUUGCUGGAUCAAGAAGGAGGAGACGUCUCCCGUCCCGUACGUGUGUUGAACGCGGAGGUGCCGUCCGUUCGGCGCUGGUCAUCGGUGAUUUGGAUCACGUCGAGUACGACUACAUCAUCACCUUGCAAGCUUCCGCACGCGAUCUACAAGUGGUAUGUAGAUGCAAACUCUCUCCCUAGACUCGUUGCUUAGAUGAACUCAUAGAUGGAUCUUGGUGAAACCGUAGGAAAAAUUUUAAUUUUCUGCAACGUUCCCCAACAAUUGGGCCACCUUGCUGCACCUUAUUUACUUUUGUUACUUGUUGCUUGUUACAAAUUAUUUAUCACAAAACAAUCUGUUACCACUUAUAUCAGUACUUGCAGAGAAUACCUUGCUGGAAACAGCUUAUCAUUUCCUUCUGUUCCUCGUUGGGUUCGACACUCUUACUUAUCGAAAGGACUACGAUAGUUCCCCUAUACUUGUAGGUCAUCAAGACUCUUUUCUGGUGUCAUUGCUGGGGAGUGAAGCGCCUUUGGUAGGUGGAAUUUGGUAAGGAAAAAUUUAUAUAGUGUGCUAAAAUUUACUGUCACUUGUUACAAUGGAAGGUAAUCCUCUGAGGGGCUUGUUCGGGGUAUCUUCACCCCGACCAGUAGAGAAAAGAGUUGCUCCUCAACCUACUAAACCUACUGAAAAUGAAAAUGAAAAUGCUUGCUUUGAAGUUCCUUCGGGUAUGAUAGAAAAACUGCUAGCUAAUCCUUUUCUAGGAGAUGGAACAAAACAUCCUGAUGAACAUCUGAUAUAUGUGGAUGAAGUUUGUGGAUUAUUUAAGCUCGCAGGUGUACCCGGAGAUGUUGUUAAGAAGAAGGUCUUCCCCUUAUCUUUGAGGGGAAAUGCGUCGACAUGGUAUAAGCUAUGUGAUGAUAUGAGGUCUUGUGUAACGACCCGACCCAAAAUCGGUCAAGUCUUUGUGUAGCUGUACCAUCCCAAGAUCAUGCUGGCACACAUAGUACCUUGAUGAAAAGAUUCAAAGUUCAAUCACACCUGAAUUUAUUACACGAUUCUCAUAUCGAGUCUUUAUUACAUCAUAAUAGAUUCGGCCGAAGGCCAACUCAUGAGAAAUAAAUUAAAUAAAGCUGCGGAAGCGUAGACGAAUAAGCGAGUCCAUCCAACUCCAUAGGGUAAUCACCGAGCAUAGAUCGUAGCCUCACUCCUAGUCGGAAAACUCCUCUACAACAUGAGACGUUGCAGCCAUGUAGGUCAGCAUUUUGAAUAUGCCGGCAAGUCAUAGAGAGAAACAACAAUAAUAAUGCUAACACUAUAUGCAAUUUGGCUGUGGGGCUCUAAGUUUUAUGUUUUUGCGAGAAAGCCAAUUUUUUCCUACAACAAAAGACUUGCUUACAAUUACUACAAAAUGUUGGCAGUUAUUGAGAUGGUUCCGCCAACUAAUGUCUCAUUCCCAAUUAUUAAUUAACCCCCAAUUAAUUUAUUUGUUCGGUGUUGAGAUUUCUGAAAUACUCUAGUUUCCAGAGGCUCAUUUGUCCGUAACCGGGGACACGGCUAAUUGAUUAGGUUGUUCCUCUGCAGAGUCUUGUGCACUUUACCCACAAGAAUCGUUCCCUCCUUUAUGUCCUCGCACUACCUGGUGUUUGAAGACGGGAUAAACGAAACAGGGUCUUCCGUAGAGUUUCUCUGGGCACUGCCGGUGCCCAUCCAUGUCCUACCGUUCUUCUACAUCUGCUGGCACCAUCCGUCCAGAGUCACGCCUAAGGUCAACCCAGCCAGAGCCCAUAAUGGCUUGCGGCUGCACAGGUAAGCUUCCGGUCAAGGGGUAUCCAUUCGUCUCUUCGUGGCUGGGUGAAGCUUUCCGCAAGAUGUCAUGGCGCUUCUCCAUGCAUCUCGGCCAUCCGCUAGUUCCUCCAAGGUGCCCGUCAACCAUACUCCACCCAGUAGUGAAUUUGAAGUCCAUCUUGAGCUUGGAGUCAUGGGGUUGUCAUCAUCUUGACUCUCACAUCUCCCUUAUGAAUCUCUCAACCAACCCCGUCUACGAGCAUAGCAAGAUAAACUACAUCGUCCCGGGCAAUAGUAGCAAGGGGAACCGGGUUCAUCCUACCUCAUGAUACUACUCAAGACAUAACUUAAAAUUCUCCUACUGCAUGCAUGGUGGGGAGGAAAAAUUCUAAUGCAACAAAAUCAUAGGUACUGUAAAACAUGAUCAAAUGACUUGCCUGGCUGACGGUCUUCAAACGCUAGUGACUCGAGAUAGCAAGCUUCGCACUCCGGAAAUUCUAUCGAGUCAAACAAUAGCACAAAUAAGUAUUACACUAAAUAGCAUAACAGCAAGCUAAAGGAAAUCACACAAGCACUCAAACCAAAACCAAAGAAAACUCGAGGAAAACAAAAUCAAGGUUUUCAUCACUUCAAGCAACAACUAAGAAAUAGUUUUAUCCUACUAACACUUUUCUUAACAUAACCAAAACAAGGGUUUUGCUAACUAACAUAAAGGACAACAUCAUAUAAACUAGGUGCAAAAAGAAUCACAUCAAUAUCUAUUAUAGAACUCCUGUUAUAACUAAAACAAAACUAAUAAGAAAAUAAAAUAAAAAUUUUAUUUUGCUGUAAAUAAAUGUUCACCCUGUGUAACUACAGAAACUAAUCUAAAAUAAAUUAUAACAGGGGUAAAUUAAAAUUCUAUAAUAACUAGAACAGCAGAAAGCAGCAACAAGCUAAAUAAAACUAGAAAAACUUGAUUUCGACUAAAACAAAUUUUAAUACAAUCUACAAAUACCCCAACAAGUUCCUAAUGCUAGGCUAGGUCAAAACUAAGUAGUGGCAAAAAGAAUCACCUAGAAAUAUUAAUUCUAGCUCAAAUUAUAGUAGAAAUACUAAUCUAACUAAAACUAAUAUAAAACUAUUUUUAUAAGCUUAAACAUGGCCAAAUCUAUUUUCUACAGAAACUAUAGGAAAUUUGUAAACUAACAAAAAAAGAAUCAACUAAAAAUAUUAAACAACCCAAAAGAUAUAGACUUUACAAGAACAGAACUAUUCUAUUCUAAAAACAGAAACUAAAAAUAACUAAAAAAACAAGCGCUACUGAGCCUAUCUAACGCUCAGGCGAACACUAACUAAAAUGCGCCCGCGGCUAAACAGAAAUAAACCGUGCAGCCGGUCUAACAAAACCGCAACUUAAAAUAAACCAACCUAACCGGAAAAAAACCCGAAACUAAACCAAUUUACUAAAAAACAAACUCUUCGUGUGAUCUAAUCUAGGCCAUGGAUAGCAGAUCGGACGGCGGGGAGCGGCUCCGGCGACUCACCACGGUUGCGACAAUGGUGACAGGCGACGGCGGCUCGGGCGUGGAUGGCGCGGCGGCUCCGGGGGCCGGGAAGGUCGGCGAAGAUGUCGGGGUGAGGCGGCGGAGUGUUGCGGAGGCGGUGGUGAUGUCGAGGUGGCUCGGGGACGACGGAAACGGCCGGGGCACCGACGACGGGGUCCUGGUGAGCUGCAGCUCCGGCGAAGAGCGGUGGUGCUCGGGCGGCUUCCUGUAGGCGUCGAGGAAGAUCAAAAAGAUGUCAGGGGGUUGUGGGAGGAUGACGCGGUUCGCGGGGUGGAGCUUGGAGUCAAGGGGGGUGCUCACCGGUGUCAGAAGCGGUGGCGAACCGAGGCAGCGACGGCGAGAUGCGUUUGGCGACGGCGGUGGCUGUGGUGGGCUUUGGGAGUAGGGUUUUAGGGGGAUCGAGAGAGGAAGGGCGUAGGUAUUUAUAGGACAUCAACUUGGAGCAGGGGGCGACUCGGGAUCGUGUAACAUCCCAAAUUUUCAAUUUGGAAGGUUAUACAUUAGAUCAUCAAUGCAUACCAUAUUUUAUUUUGCAUUUUGGUUGAUCCUAAAAAUUCUACGCAACUCAAGGACCCGCGGAGAGAGUUGGGGAUUUCGUUAUUUUCAUAUUUGAGUUCUCUCAAAUUUUGAGAAUAGGAUCAUUUGAUUUUAUUUAUUUUAUCAUCAAUUAUUUCUAUUACAAAAAUGUGAGAGAGGGAAUAAAAUGACUUUCCCAAAAUAAAGAAAUAUUGAGGAUUUAAUAAUAAAAUCAAAUAAGAUUUUAUUUCGGAGUUUUUCGGUGUUUUAUUUGAAUUUAGGAAAAAAGUGCGUUUUUCAAAAUUGCAUUUAGGGCCCAAAUAAAUGUUCACCUUGUGCGGCUUGAUUUUAGAAGCCCGUGAAAAUUUAUUUCAGAAUUUUUGGAGUCCGUUUAGUAUUUCUUUUUAUUUUCCUUCCGAGCAGAAUAAUUAAAAAAACGAACCGACUUCGGGCCGUACCCGAGCGGGACACCGCCCGGGGGCAACCUUUAAAUAGCGCCGCCCCGAGCCGCCCCAGCCCAUCAGUCCCGCCUCGAUCCGGAGUGCGCCGCCUGUUACUUCGAAUCGUUAGGUUUCACGGAUCAUCAGCAAGACAAGUAACACUUUGAUCACACCUUUUCUACUACCCAGUUUUAUUGCAUUAGAUCAAACCUCACACAUUGCAUGAUUAGGAUCUAAUUAAAUUGUGGGAUGGGAAGUAGAUGAGGUAGUACCUAUUACCUGUUUAUUAUCAAACCUUUGGGAGUUACUUCUACGUUUGCUUAUUAUGCCAUGCUAUGCUAGUAGACGUGGAUUGGGUGAGUGAUAUACAUGACAGAUGUGAGUUUUGUUAAGCAAUGGUUUAUCUAAGGUGGCAACUUAAACACACAUCUGGGUGGAUUGAGGCACCUGGGUAUUCCAGGACUUGCCUGUUUUCUUUUGGACCGCCACCCAGGCUCAAAGGGAUCAUGAGACUAUUCAUACUAGAAACUUCCGUGUGCAGCCACAAGCUAUUAUGGGCUCUAGCAUAGUUGACUAAGUUGUGCGAACUCUUACGGUGGUAGACUAGUAGAUGUAGGGGAUGUAGGUGGUACGGUCUACCCGAUCGUAAGGUGCUAGCGCUUCUGAAAGACUAUGUCUUGGUCAUCCGUCUUCUCAAACACCAUGUAGUGCGAGAAACCAAACGGAGGCGAUCGAGUCUUGUGGGGAAAAGUGUGCAAACCUCUGCAGAGUGUAAUAAACUAAUCAUGGUUAGCUGUGUCCCUGGUUAUGGACAUCUUGAGUAUCUAGUACUUGGAUUAUCAUGUGAAUCUCAACAUGUUACUCUAAAUAAAUUUUGUUGGGUUAUGUUUAAUGAUGAUGCUUAAUUGGGAUUGAGGAUGCUGUCAACCAUUCUCAAUGUUUAACAACCACCAUGAUAGUAAUUAAAUUUUAUUCCUUUGAAGUAGGGAAAAAUUGGCUUUACGCAAAACUAUAACCAUAGAGCUUUCCACCAGCCAAAUAUGCAUAUAGUAUAGCUGCUUCAUUCCAUUACUCUCAAUGUGUUACAUUGCUAGCAUAUUCCAUGUGCUGACCCGUUUUCGGGCUGCAACGUUAAUGUUGCAGACUUUUCAGACGAUGAUUAAGGAGUUUUUAGGUCAUGGUCCUAUACUCAGUUUUGCCGUUGGAGUUGAUGGACUCACUUAUCUUCCAAGCCUUCCGCUGUUAUCGUUAUUAGAUGGCCUUAAGCCAUAUUUAUUGUAAUAAGUUCUCGUUUGAGACAUUCGAUGUAAUAAGUGUGUGAUUGCUACUCUGCUAUAAAUCCUCCGAGUACUGUGUGGUGUCAGCAUUACUGAUCCAGGGAUGACACUGGAGCAUAGAGAUCAGACUGUUUGAGGUCUGGUUGCUACAGAGAUGGUAUCAGAGCACACGCUGACUGUAGAACACGACCAUAAGCUAAAGACCUAGAUCACUCUCUUCUCUUCUGACUCCUCAUCUUUUCUACUCUUUAGGAUGGCGGAUGCAAGGAACAAGUUCACGCAACCGGAUGAAGAUACACCCUUUGGACGUCACUUGAAGGAAGUCACUAGAUACCUGAACAUAGGAGUACCAAGCUUCACGGGAACCUACAACGCCACUUUACCUAAAGAAGAUCGCUGGAUGAUUCAAGUUCAAGUUCCAGGAAGGACGUUCAUGCCAGUCACUGAGCCCAUAGAGUUUUCUUUUGAUGCACCAACUUGGAAUCUAGGAAAGAGCAUGGCAGCUCACAUCGCCAUGGGACGCAUUGGAGAAGCCUACCGCAAGGAUCUCAAGGACACCAUCUACCAGAUUUGUGGGCGCCGAGAUGAACACUGCGAGAUGAUCAGCACCAGGAAGGAUAGAUCAAUCGCAGCUUUUAUCCAGGAGUUAAACCAGCACAUUCAAUGACAGGAGAACCAGAUGUGCGCCGACAUGAUAGAUCUAAAGAAGGCUAAGACUAGAAUCAAGGAACUGGAGGAAGAACUCAAGGCUACACGUGAAGAUUAUGAAGAGGAAAUUGAAGUAUUGGUGGAGAAGAAUGACGACCUGAUCAAGAAGAUUGGAAUAUUUAUGGGAGGCCCUACGCCAGUAGAUGAAGACGAAGAACCCAAGGAGAUUAGCUCGGAAGACUACAUCAUCAUCGACAGCACCGACUCGGAAGCAUAUAGUAGCAAUGAUGACUAUGUUGAUGAAGCUGGAGCAGAUAUUAUGGAGUCCACGACCGUAGAAUAUUUCUAAUAGACCACCUCAUCAGUAGUAGUAGUCCACCAUGUAAAUAUAGUAGUCCGAGCACUUUUGCGAUAGUUAGAUCGAUUGUAUGCCUUGUCUGAUUGAUUGAAGUGAAUUGUUUGCUUUUUCCUCAUGUGCAUAUGGGUAGUGUUUUCUCUUUAGACCCCCUCUAUUCUUAUAUCUCAUCUUUUCUAAAAUCCUUAGAUGCCUCCGAGAUGUGACCCCGGAUUUGCCUUUCCACCGGAGCUCACCCAGUUGAUCCAGCAGCAGAACACAUUGAUGCAGUUGCUAGUCCAGAAUCAGAAUCAGGGGAACAACAACAACAAUCCACCACCACCACCACCACCUGUUGACCACUUAGCCCGUUUUCUUAGGCUAAAUCCGCUGGUGUUUUCCAGUAGCACCGAGCCGAUAGUAGCAGAUGAUUGGCUCUGUAAGGCAGCUAGAGAGUUGACCACAGCAGGAUGCACAGAUGCGGAGAAAGUGAAGUUUGCCGCACAUCAGCUUGAAGGACCCGCAUCAUCAUGGUGGGAGAAUUUCACAGCCACUUUCCCAGUCGACACUGUCACAUGGGACCAGUUUCAGCAGGCUUUUCGUACUGCCCAUGUUUCAGUAGGAGCUAUGGCCAUGAAGAAGCGUGAGUUUCGCAACUUGCGCCAAGGAGGACGGACAGUUGGCCAAUACGUGGAGGAGUUUAGUAAGUUAGCACGUUGUGCCCCAGAUGACGUAGCUACGGGUGCAGCUAAGCAGGAGAAGUUUCUAGAAGGACUGAAUGAUGAGUUGAGCAUGCAGUUGAUGGUAGCCACCUUCAACAACUACAAGGAGUUGGUAGAUCAUGCUCUUAUGAUUGAAGGGAAGUAGCAGCAAAUUAAGAACCGCAAGAGGAAGUAUGGACAAGGAAAGUACAAUUCAGGAGCUCAGCAGAAGCCACGUUUUACCCCUAGACUGGGAGGACAUUUUCAGCAUACCCAUGGAGGAGGUAGCUCGCACAAUCACAAUGGCACCAAGAAUGGUAAUGGCAAUGGAGGAAGCAAGGCCAGAAUCGCACCAACCCAUCCACCCCAGCCAAGAAGGACCUGAGCCAAGUCACUUGUUUUAAGUGUCAGAAAACCGGACAUUAUGCCAAUGAAUGUCCUGAAGGCCAAAAUGGCAAUGGAAGUUCUGGGAAGAAGCCGAACCCUGUCAAUAGGGGACAGGUGAACCACGUUAAUGUGGAGGAGGUUGAAGCUCAGCCCGAUGCAGUAAUAGGUAAGUUUUUGGUUAAGUCAUUUACUGCACUCGUUCUUUUUGAUACUGGUGCAUCGCAUUCAUACAUCUGAAGGGGAUUUGUGGAUAAGUAUAACCUACCAACCCAAGCCCUUAGGUCAUCCAUGUUAGUAACCUCGCCCGGAGCAGAGUAUGUGGCUAGUCUAUGGUGUGAUCGGUUACCAUUAAGGAUUGGUAACUAUGUUUUUCCCUCAGACCUAAUAGUAUUGGAAUCUCAAGGAUUGGAUGUGAUAUUAGGCAUGGAUUGGUUAUCAAAGUAUGAAGGGAAUAUUGAAUGUGCUAGUAAGUCAAUUUGGCUUACCACCCUGGAAGGGAGAAGGAUCAAAUAUGUAUCCCGACAUGUGCCAAAGAGGACCCAAGUAAAUUGCUUAACAGGAGUUGUGCAGGAGGAAGUACCAGUGGUAAGGGAUUUUCCCGAUGUAUUUCCAGAAGAGUUGCCAGGCAAUGCCACCGGAUAGAGAUAUUGAGUUUUUGAUUGAGCUAUUGCCAGGCACAGGGCCAAUAUCAAAGAGACCAUAUAGGAUGCCAGCAAAGGAUUUGGUGGAAAUUAAGAAGCAGAUUAAGGAGUUACUGGAUAAAGGAUAUAUUCGCCCAAGUUCUUCGCCUUGGGGAUCGCCAGUAGUACUAGUGGAGAAGAAGGAUGGAUCGUUAAGGAUGGUUGUUGAUUAUCGAGGAUUGAAUGAAGUAACAAUCAAAAACAAGUACCCACUACCAAUGAUCAACGAUCUGUUUGAUCGAUUGCAAGGAGCUAAGGUAUUUUCCAAGAUCGAUCUGCGAUCAGGAUACCACCAGUUGAAGAUUUGAGAACAGGAUAUUCCGAAGACAGCUUUUACCACCAGGUAUGGGCUGUACGAGUAUACCGUUAUGUCAUUUGGUCUGACUAACGCACCUGCCUAUUUUAUGAACAUGAUGAACAAAGUGUUUAUGGAGUUUUUUGAUAAGUUUGUCGUAGUGUUCAUUGAUGAUAUCCUGGUUUACUCGAAGAAUGAAGAGGAGCAUAAGGAGCAUUUGCGUUUGGCACUUGGAAAGCUCAGGGAACAUCAAUUAUAUGCCAAGUUUAGCAAAUGUGAGUUUUGGUUGAAGGAAGUAGGAUUCCUUGGACACGUUAUAUCUGGAGAAGGUAUAGCAGUAGAUCCCGCUAAAGUUGAAACCGUGACCAAGUGGGUAUCCCCAACAACAGUUGGAGAGAUCCAGAGUUUUCUUGGACUCGCAGGAUACUACCGGAGAGUUAUUGAGAAUUUCUCAAAGAUUGCGAAGCCUAUGACUGAGUUGUUGAAGAAGGAAAUCAAGUUCAUAUGGACAGAGGAGUGUGAGGCUAGUUUCCAGGAGUUGAAGAAACGUUUGGUUACCUCACCAGUAUUGAUUUUGCCAGACCAGACCAAGUAUUAUGAGGUGUAUUGCGACGCUUCACGUUGAGGACUUGGAGCAUUGCUUAUGCAGGAACGGAGAGUUGUUUCAUAUGCCUCAAGACAACUGAAGCCUCAUGAGUUGAAUUAUGCUACACAUGAUUUGGAGUUAGCAGCUGUAGUGCAUGCACUGAAGACAUGGAGACAUUUCCUCAUUGGAAAUCAUUGUGAGGUGUAAACGGAUCAUAAGAGUUUGAAGUACAUUUUCACCCAGAAGGAGUUGAAUCUCAGACAAAGGAGAUGGUUGGAGCUUAUCAAGGAUUAUGAUAUGAAAUUGCAUUAUCACCUCGGAAAGGCUAAUGUAGUAGCUGACGCAUUAAGCCGUAAGAUCCAUGUCAAUACAUUAACGACGGGAGAAAUACCCAAGGAGUUAGCAGAAAAUCUUCAUGAACUAUGUUUGGAAAUAGUUCCGAGAGGCUAUGUAGCAGCAUUGGAGAUUCAGUCAACUUUGAUGGAUAGAAUCAGGGAAGCUCAGAAAACUGACAAAGAGAUUGCUGCUAUAAAGGAGAAACUGAGCAAAGGAAAAGCUAAAGGAUUUCGUGAGGAUGAGCACGACACCCUAUGGUUUUAAGACCGUGUUUACAUGCCCAAUGACCCGGAGAUCAGGAAGUUGAUACUGCAAGAGGCACACGAUUCACCAUAUUCGAUUCACCCAGGUAAUACCAAGAUGUAUUUGGAUUUGAAGGAUAUUUUCUGGUGGACCGGAAUGAAGAAGGAUAUUGCGGAGUAUGUAGCAGUUUGUGAUGUAUGUCAGAGAGUAAAGGCAGAACAUCAGAAGCCAGCAGGAUUGUUACAACCAUUGCCGAUACCCGAAUGGAAGUGGGAUAAGUUAGGCAUGGAUUUUAUCACGGGAUUGCCCAGGACUCGUUCAGGCUAUGACUCAAUUUGGGUUGUAGUUGAUCGAUUGACAAAAGUAGCUCAUUUCAUCCCAGUAAAGACCACUUACAACAGUGCUAAGUUGGCCAAGAUAUACAUGACCAGGAUCGUAUGUUUGCAUGGAGUUCCAAGGAGUAUCGUAUCGGAUAGAGGAACCCAGUUUACCUCAAAGUUCUGGAAGCAGUUGCACGAAACUUUGGGAACCAGGCUAGAAUUCAGUACAACUUUUCAUCCACAGACAGAUGGACAGACCGAGAGAGUCAAUCAGAUUUUGGAGGAUAUGCUGAGAGCUUGUGCACUAGAUUAUGGAUCUAGUUGGGACGAUAAUCUGCCAUAUGCAGAGUUCUCUUACAUCAAUAGUUACCAAACCAGUUUAAAGAUGGCCCCUUUCGAAGCCUUGUACGGAAGGAGGUGCAGGACACCGUUGUCAUGGGACGAAGUUGGAGACCGCCAGUUGUUUGGACCUGACUUGAUUAAAGAGUCUGAACAGAAGGUGAAGUUGAUUCGUGAUAGGCUCAAGAUAGCCCAGUCCAGGCAGAAAAGUUAUGCAGAUUCUAAACGCAAGGAGACAGUUUAUGAAGUCGGAGAUAGAGCUUAUCUUCAAGUAUCUCCACUUCGGGGAAAAAGCGUUUUGGAGUUAAAGGGAGGUUAGCGCCACAAUUUGUAGGACCAUAUCGAGUUUUGGAGCGUAUGGGAGAAGUGGCCUACAAGUUGGAAUUGCCCGAAGGAUUGUCAGGAGUACAUGAUGUGUUCCACGUUUCUCAGUUAAAGAAAUGUCAUGCGGAGAUGGCUGACAUACCGUUGAGAGACACAGUGCCUUUGGAAACUAUUCAGUUGGAUAACGAUUUGACCUACAAGGAGAAACCAGUUAAGAUCCUCGACUUUGCCAGCCGAGUUACCCACAGCAAGGUUAUCAAGUUUUGCAAAGUUCAGUGGAGCCACCACACGGAGGAUGAAGCCACCUGGGAGUGAGAGGAAGAUUUGCUCAAAGACCACCCUCACCUAUUUUCUAGCCAACCCGAAUCUCGAGGGCGAGAUUCAUCUUAAGGGGGGUAAGUUUGUAACAUCCCCAAUUUUCAAUUUGGAAGGUUAUACAUUAGAUCAUCAAUGCAUAUCAUAUUUUAUUUUGCAUUUUGGUUGAUCCUAGAAAUUCUACGCAACUCAAGGACCCGCGGAGAGAGUUGGGGAUUUCGUUAUUUUCAUAUUUGAGUUCUCUCAAAUUUUGAGAAUAGGAUCAUUUGAUUUUAUUUAUUUUAUCGUCAAUUAUUUCUAUUACAAAAAUAUGAGAGAGGGAAUAAAAUGACUUUCCCAAAAUAAAGAAAUAUUGAGGAUUUAAUAAUAAAAUCAAAUAAGAUUUUAUUUCGGAGUUUUUCGGUGUUUUAUUUGAAUUUAGGAAAAAAGUGCGUUUUUCAAAAUUGCAUUUAGGGCUCAAAUAAAUGUUCACCUUGUGCGGCUUGAUUUUAGAAGCCCAUGAGAAUUUAUUUCGGAAUUUUUGGAGUUCAUUUAGUAUUUCUUUUUAUUUUUCUUCCGAGCGGAAUAAUUAAAAAAAACGAACCGACUUCGGGCCGUACCCGAGCGGGACACCGCCCGGGGGCAGCCUUUAAAUAGUGCCACCCCGAGCCGCCCGAGCCCAUCAGUCCCGCCUCGAUCCGGAGUGCGCCGCCUGUUACUUCGAAUCGUUAGGUUUCGCGGAUCAUCAGCAAGGCAAGUAACACUUUGAUCAUACCUUUUCUACCACCCAGUUUUAUUGCAUUAGAUCAAACCUCACACAUUGCAUGAUUAGGAUCUAAUUAAAUUGUGGGAUGGGAAGUAGAUGAGGUAGUACCUAUUACCUGUUUAUUAUCAAACCUUUGGGAGUUACUUCUACGUUUGCUUAUUAUGCCAUGCUAUGCUAGUAGACGUGGAUUGGGUGAGUGAUAUCCAUGACAGAUGUGAGUUUUGUUAAUUAAUGGUUUUUAUCUAAGGUGGCAACUUAAACACACAUCUGGGUGGAUUGAGGCACCUGGCUAUUCCAGGACUUGCCUGUUUUCUUUUGGACCGCCACCCAGGCUCAAAGGGAUCAUGAGACUAUUCAUACUAGAAACUUCUGUGUGCAGCCAGAAGCUAUUAUGGGCUCUAGCAUAGUUGACUAAGUUGUGCGAACUCUUACGGUGGUAGACUAGCAGAUGUAGGGGAUGUAGGUGGUACGGUCUACCCGAUCGUAAGGUGCUAGCGCUUCUGAAAGACUAUGUCUCGGUCAUCCGUCUUCUCAAACACCAUGUAGUGCGAGAAACCAAACGGAGGCGAUUGAGUCUUGUGGGGAAAAGUGCACAAACCUCUGCAGAGUAUAAUAAACUAAUCAUGGUUAGCCGUGUCCCCGGUUAUGGACAUCUUGAGUAUCUAGUACUUGGAUUAUCAUGUGAAUCUCAACAUGUUACUCUAAAUAAAUUUUGUUGGGUUAUGUUUAAUGAUGAUGCUUAAUUGGGAUUGAGGAUGCUGUCAACCAUUCUCAAUGUUUAACAACCACCAUGAUAGUAAUUAAAUUUUAUUCCUUUGAAGUAGGGAAAAAUUGGCUUUACGCAAAACUGUAACCAGAGAGCUUUCCACCAGCCAAAUAUGCAUAUAGUAUAGCCGUUUCAUUCCAUUACUCUCUAUGUGUUGCAUUGCCAGCAUAUUCCAUGUGCUGACCCGUUUUUGGGCUGCAACGUUAAUGUUGCAGACUUUUCAGACGACGAUUAAGGAGUUUUUAGGUCGUGGUCCUAUACUCAGUGAUGCCGUUGGAGUUGAUGGACUCACUUAUCUUCCAAGCCUUCCACUGUUAUCGUUAUUAGAUGGCCUUAAGCCAUAUUUAUUGUAAUAAGUUCUCGUUUGAGACAUUCGAUGUAAUAAGUGUGUGAUUGUUACUCUGCUAUAAAUCCUCCGAGUACUGUGUGGUGUCAGCAUUACUGAUCCAGGGAUGACACCGGAGCACAGAGAUCAGACUGUUUGAGGUCUGGUCGCUACAGAUCGUGAUCCCGUGGAAUUCGGACGUGAAGGCGGUGUCGAACGCGCUCUGGCGCGGCAUAGCGUGGGCGAGGGGAAAGAGAUAAGGGCGGGCCCCCGCGGUCAGUGAGAGGGAGAGAGGAGGAGGCGAGCGGGCGACCGAUCGGGAGAGGAUUCGGGUGCGAGCGCUAUGCUGGGCUGGCGGCUCGGCGCUGGCUGGGCUGCGGCCUCGCUGGCUGGGCCGAGCUUGGCCAGCUCGGGGGGGGGGGGGCUUUUCCUUUUUUUUGAAUGAAGGCAGAGAGAAAAAACUAAACUAAGAGAAAACUACAAUAUUUUUAUAUAAGACAUAUAUAUAUCAAAAUUCUCAGGGGAAAUAAUCCUACAACGUGGACAUUUUUCCAGGGGCAAAACAGAAACUAAAAAAAACAUUUCUGCAAAUUCCAAAUAAAAUCAAAUUUGAAUUCAAACCUUUUGGCAUUAAUUUUUCUUCUGAAAUUUUUGGAGUGUCAUGUUUACUCCUCUCUUACUUUUUCUCAAGUAUUCUGUGAGGCAUUUCUUUUUGAAAUAAAUUUCAAUUGCCAAGUUGAAUCCAAUUCAAACAACAACUCAAAUGCCUCUGAAAAUUUCCAAAUGCCACACAAUUCAAACAAAAUGCAUAGAUGCUUAACUAAUAAUUGUAAAACAUUCCAAAUUGAAAAUUUGGGAUGUUACAAACCUACCCACCUUAAGAUGAAUCUCUCCCUCAAGAUUCAGGUUGGCUAGCAAAUAGGUGCGGGUGGUCUCGGCGGAGAUCUUCUUCUCGCUCCCAGGUGGCUUCCUCCUUGGAGUGGUGGCUCCACAGAACCUUGCAAAACUUGAUGAUCUUGCGGCGGGUAAUUCUGUUCGCAGUCUCGAGAAUUCUGACGGGUUUCUCCUCAUAAGUCAGAUCACUGUCAGGCUGUAUGGCCUCUAGAGGCACUGUGUCUCUCAAAGGAACAUCGGCCAUCUCGGCAUGGCAUUUCUUCAGCUGGGAUACUUGAAAGACAUCGUGAACUCCUGACAAGCCUUCUGGCAAUUCCAGCUUAUAUGCAACUUCUCCUCUGCGUUCGAGGAUUUUGUAGGGGCCAAUGAACCUGGGUGCUAAUUUUCCUUUAACCCCAAAUCUCUUGAUUCCAUGAAGUGCGGACACACGGAGAUAUGCUCGGUCUCCAACUUCAUAUGUUAUCUCCUUGCGUUUACUAUCGGCAUAACUCUUCUGUCUUGAUUGGGCUAUCUUGAGUCUAUCUCGAAUCAGCUUGACUUUCUCUUCGAAGUCUCUGAUAAGAUCGGGACCAAAAAGUUUUCGGUCUCCAACACCAUCCCACAGCAAUGGUGUUCUGCACCUCCUUCCGUAUAGAGCUUCGAAAGGGGUCAUCUUCAGACUGGUCUGAUAGCUAUUGUUGUACAAGAACUCUGCAUAUGGCAAAUUGUCAUCCCAGCUAAACCCGUAGUCUAGCGCACAGGCUCUCAACAUGUCCUCUAGAAUCUGGUUGACUCUCUUGGUCUGUCCAUCUGUCCGUGGAUGAAAAGUUGUACUGAACUCCAGCCCCGUACCCAAAGUUUCAUGCAACUCAUUCCAAAACUUUGAGGUAAACGGUGUUCCUCUAUCUGACACGAUACUCCUCGGAACUCCAUGCAGACAUACCAUCCUGGUCAUGUAUAUCUUGGCUAACUUAGCGCUGGCAUAUGUAGUCUUCACGGGAAUGAAAUGAGCUACCUUGGUCAAGCGAUCAACUAGUACCCAGAUAGAAUCAUAACCUGAACGGGUCCGGGGUAAUCCUGUGAUAAAAUCCAUUCCAUGUUUUUCCCAUUUCAACUCGGGAAUUAGUAGUGGUUGAAGUAACCCUGCCGGCUUCUGAUGUUCCGCCUUUACUCGCUGACAAACAUCGCAUACUGCUACAUACUCGGCAAUAUCCUUCUUCAUACCUGUCCACCAGAAACUUUCCUUCAAAUCCAGAUACAUCUUGGUGUUGCCUGGGUGAAUCGAGUACGGUGAAUCAUGGGCCUCCUGAAGAAUUAACUUCCUGACCUCUGGGUCAUUGGGCACAUAGAUACGAUCCUCAAACCAUAAAAUUCCGUGUUCAUCCUCAUGAAAACCUUUAGCCUUUCCGUUACUCAUAUUUUCCUUUAUCUCUGCAAUUUCCUUGUCCGUCUUCUGCGCUUCACGGAUCCUUUCGGUCAAAGUGGAUUGAAUAUCCAAGGUGGCGAAAAAUCCUCUUGGUACUAUCUCCAAUCGGAGAUCUCUGAGAUCGUCGGCUAAUUUCUGAGGUAAUCCUCCAGCUAUGAGGGUGUUCACAUGGCUUUUACGGCUCAAGGCAUCUGCUACAACAUUUGCUUUCCCUGGGUGAUAAUGCAAUCUCACCUCAUAGUCCUUGAUCAAUUCAAGCUAUCUCCUUUGUCUGAGGUUCAACUCCUUCUGCGUGAAAAUGUACUUCAAGCUCUUAUGAUCCGUGUAAACAUCACAACUAUUUCCGACAAGGAAAUGUCUCCAUGUCUUGAGUGUGUGCACUACGGCUGCUAACUCCAAAUUGUGUGUGGCAUAAUUCAUCUCGUGAGGUCGUAGCUGUCUGGAGGUAUAAGCUACAACUUUUCCUUCCUGCAUGAGCACUCCUCCGAGUCCUUGACGAGAAGCGUCACAAUACACCUGGUAAUCCUUGUGUAUGUCCGGCAAAAUGAGUACUGGGGCUGUAACCAGACGUUUCUUCAACUCCUGAAAACUGGCUUCACAAUCCUCGGUCCAAAUGUACUUGGUUUCCUUCUUCAACAGCUCGGUCAUGGGUUUAGCAAUCUUGGAGAAAUUCUCAAUAAAUCUCUGAUAAUAUCCUGCAAGUCAGAGAAAAUUGCGGAUCUCCUUGACUGAGGUGGGGGAUUGCCAGUUGGUGACCGAUUCAACCUUGGUGGGGUCGACUGCUAUUCCUUCUCCUGAAAUAACAUGUCUGAGGAAUCCGACUUCCUUCAACCAAAAUUCACAUUUGCUGAACUUGGCAUAUAACUAAUGUUCUCGGAGUUUCUCGAGAACUAGACGCAGAUGUUCCUUGUGCUCUUCCUCACUCUUGGAGAAAACCAAUAUGUCAUCGAUGAACACCACGACAAACUUGUCCAGAUAUUCCAUAAAUACCUUGUUCAUCAUGCUCAUGAAAUACGCAGGGGCAUUAGUCAAUCCGAAUGACAUGACGGUAUACUCAUAUAAACCAUACAUGGUGGUGAAAGAUGUUUUGGGUAUAUCCUGUUCACGAAUCUUCAGCUGAUGAUACCCUGAUCGAAGAUCGAUCUUGGAAAAUACUUUGGCUCCGACUAGCUGAUCAAAUAAAUCAUUAAUCAUCGGCAGAGGGUACUUAUUCUUGAUGGUCACGUCAUUCAAUGAACGAUAAUCUACAACCAUUCUCAGGGUUCCAUCCUUCUUCUCUACCAAAAGAACCGGGGCUCCCCAAGGUGACGAACUUGGGCGAAUAUAUCCUUUCUCCAAUAAUUCCUUGAUCUGCUGCUUGAUCUCUUCCAAAUCAUUCGGGGGCAUCCGAUAAGGUCUCUUGGAUAUUGGGGCUGUGCCAGGUAAUAACUCAAUCAGAAAUUCUAUUUCUCUGUCCAAUGGCAUUCCUAGUAAUUCCUCCGGAAAUACAUCCGAAAAAUCUUGUACUAUAGGAACUUCCUCCUGAACCACUCCCGUGAGGGAAUUCACCUGCUUCUUCAUCGGUGUGUGUCUGGAUACAUACUUGGUCCUCUUCUGCUCCAGGGUGGUGAGCAAAAUCGUCUUGCGGGCACAGUCGAUGUUCCCUUCAAACUUCGUCAACCAGUCCAUGCCUAGGAUCACGUCCAAUCCCUGGGAUUCUAAGACUAUGAGGUCUACGGGAAAAUCAUGAUUUCGAUGCUGAGGGUUGAAUGACAAUCUAAGCCUGCCAUCAUAUCUCCUACUGGGGAAGUGACGAGGAGCGGGGUUCUAAGGGUCCUAGUGGGCAAACCGUACUUUUCCACAACUACCCUUGAUAUGAAUGAAUGUGUUUUAUCGGAAUCAAAAAGUACCAAUACUAGACGUGAAUUUAAUAAAAACUUACCAACCAUAGUGUCUGGCUGGUCAUAGACGUCCUCCACGUCAAUGUGAUUCACCUGAGCAAGAGGAAAAGGGUUGGGCUUCUUUGCUGAGCUUCCAUUGCCGUUGCCGUUUCCAUUUCUCUGCUUGGCCUCCGGACAAUCGGUGGCAUAGUGUCCUGUCUUCUGGCACUUGAAACAGGUGAUAUGACUCAGAUCCUUCUGAGUCAGAGUAGGACGGUGCUGGUUGCCGUUGCCUCCAUUGCCUGACUUGGAGUUGUUGUCGUGGUUGCGAUUGUUCCCAUUCCCUCCAUGGUUAUGUCUUCCAUGAUUAUGUCCUCCAUGGGUGUGAUGGGUAUGUCCUCCCGAGUAUGGGGCAUAGCGGGGCUUCUGCUGAGCUCCGGAGUUGUACUUUCCUUGGCCAUAUUUCCGCUUGCGGCUUUCAAUCUGUUGCUGCUUGCCUUCAAGUAUAGUGGCCUUGUCUACCAGCUCCUGGUAGUUGUUGAAGGUAGCCACCAUUAGCUGCAUUCCCAGCUCAUCAUUGAGUCCCUCAAGAAACUUCUCCUGUUUUGCGGCUUCUGUGGCCACAUCAUCUGGGGCAUAGCGAGAUAAUUUGUCGAACUCAUCCACAUAUUGCCCCACAGUACGGUUUCCCUGGCGUAAGUUGCGGAACUCACGCUUCUUCAGACUCAUGGCUCCAGCUGAGACAUGAGCGGUGCGGAAAGCAUGCUGGAACUGAUCCCAUGUCAUGGUGGCGACCGGAUAAGUAGCGGUGUAGUUCUCCCACCAAGAGGCUGCAGGUCCAUUCAGUUGAUGUGCGGCAAAACGCACCUUCUCAGCAUCUGUGCAUCCAGUAGUUGUUAGAUCCCUUCCGAUCUUGCGGAGCCAAUCAUCAUCUACAAUCGGCUCGGUGCUACUAGAGAACACCGACGGAUUCAGCCUUAGGAACCGGGUCAGGUUAUCAACGGGGAGUGGCGGUGGUGGGUUGUUGUUGUUGCCUUGGUUUUGGAUGAGCAUUUGCAUUAAGGCAUUCUGUUGUUGAAUCAGCUAGGUGAGCUCUGGCGGGAAAGUGAAACCGGGAUCACGUCUCGGAGGCAUCUGGUGUUAUGGAGUGGAUGAGAAAUUAGAAUAGAACAAGGGUCUAAUGAGAAAAUAGCACUACCCAAAUGAAUGCACAAACAUAAUCACACCAAUCAUUUAUUCAUUCAUCUCAAACAAGGUUCAAUCUUGGAUUACAAAAUCUCACGACUAGUCGAAAAUAAUAGCCUAACUGAUCAACGAAAAUAAAAUAACAUGGCAGUCGACUAAAUGUCUUCAUCAAUUAUCCUUGCAUCCUCUGGUGCGGCGUCCUCUGGUGCAUCGUCCUCUGGUGCGGCGCCUCCUCUUGCGGCUUCCUUUGGUGGAGCUCUCUUCAUAAUCCUCGUCAUUGCUCACGAGGGGUCCAUCAUCUCCACUCGGAAAAAGGUCUUCUCCCAGAUCCAUCUUCUCCUCUAGUGUGGCAAUAUAUUUCUCCCGGUCCUCGAGUCUAUCCAUAAAAUCCUUGACUUAUUCUUCAUGCUCAUAGUGGGCUUCAUGUGCUGCAUCCUCCAGUUCCAUUUCAUGAAGAUGCAACUUUUGGACCGUCUUCAAGCUCCUGCGCAUCUGAAUCUCUAGAGCCCUGAUGUGAGCCUCCAAGUCUUGGGCAUAUGAGCGAACAGAGUCAUCAUCAAUAGUGCAGAUGAGCUCUCCAUCUGCAGUCUUGCGAGAAAUCAUGGUGUGAUCUGAUCCAACGAGCUCGACCCUAUAUUCCUCCUGGAUGCGUCCAAGUGCAGUAUGAACUGCUAUGUCUCUCCCGAGUAUCCAAGUGGGAGCAGUGAACCUGAAGUCAACGGGCGCCGAGAUACUUCCGAAAGUACUCCCUAGUAUGUGUACCUUAAUCCUAUAGCGAGGCUCUUCUGGGAAUGCCAUGAUAGGGGUCCCGAUGAUAGACAGCAGAGCAAUCUUCUAUUCCUUGAUGAUCUGGACCAGCCUCCUGCCGAAAAGCAUUGUCUCAUCUGGCUGGCAAAACUCCGGGAGCAGAAUUGGCAUGAACUUGACGGCCAUCUAGAAUGUUGAAAUCGGAGAGAAAUCAGAAAUGAAUAGGGGAGAAUUACGGAAUGAUAAGGACAUAAAAUAAAAUAGUUUCUUCCUAUGGCUUUCCGAUCCUAGGGGUUACGUCCUACGGUCAGCCUGUGCUCUGAAUACCAUCUCUGUAACGACCCGACCCAAAAUCGGUCAAGUCUCUGUGUGGUUGUACCAUCCCAAGAUCAUGCUGGCACACACAGUACAUUGAUGAAAAGAUUCAAAGUUCAAUCACACCUGAAUUUAUUACACGAUUCUCAUAUCGAGUCUUUAUUACAUCAUAAUAAAUUCGGCCGAAGGCCAACACAUGAGAAAUAAACUAAAUAAAGUUGCGGAAGCGUAGACGAAUAAGCGAGUCCAUCCAACUCCAUAGGGCAAUCACCGAGCAUAGAUCAUAGCCUCACUCCUGGUCAGAAAACUCCUUUGCAACAUGAGACGUUGCAGCCGUGUAGGUCAGCAUUUUGAAUAUGCCAGCAAGUCAUAGAGAGAAAGAACAAUAAUAAUGCUAACACUAUAUGCAAUUUGGCUGUGGGGCUCUAAGUUUUAUGUUUUUGCGAGAAAGCCAGUUUUUCCCUACAACAAAGGACUUGCUUACAAUUACUACAAAAUGUUGAUAGUUAUUGAGAUGGUUCCGCGAACCAAUGUCUCAUUCCCAAUUAUUAAUUAACCCCUCAAUUAAUUUAUUUGUUCGGUGUUGAGAUUUCCGAAAUACUCCAGUUUCCAGAGGCUCAUUUGUCCGUAACCGGGGACACGGCUAAUCGAUUAGGUUGUUACUCUGCAGAGUCUUGUGCACUUUACCCGCAAGAAUCGUUCCCUCCUUUAUGUCCUCACACUGCCUGGUGUUUGAAGAUAGGAUGAAUGAAACAAGGUCUUCCGUAGAGUUUCUCUAGGCACUGUCGGUGCCCAUCCAUGUCCUACCGUUCUUCUACAUCUGCUGGCACCGUCCGUCCAGAUUCACGCUUAAGGUCAACCCAGCCAGAGCCCAUAAUGGCUUGCGGCUGCACAGGUAAGCUUCCGGUCAAGGGUUAUCCAUCCGUCUCUUCAUGGCUGGGUGAAGCUUUCCGCAAGAUGUCAUGGCGCUUCUCCAUGCAUCCCGGCCAUCCGCUGGUUCCUCCAGGGUGCCCGUCAACCGUCCUCCACCCAGUAGUGAAUUUGAAGUCCAUCUUGAGCUUGAAGUCAUGGGGUUGUCAUUAUCUUGACUCUCACAUCUCCCUUAUGAAUCUCUCAACCAACCCCAUCUACGAGCAUAACAAGAUAAACUACAUCGUCCCGGGAAAUAGUAGCAAGGGGAACUGGGUUCAUCCUACCUCAUGAUACUACUCAAGAAAUAACUUAAAAUUCUCCUACUGCAUGCAUGGUGGGGAGGAAUAAUUCUAAUGCAACAAAAUCAUAGGUAUUGUAAAACAUGAUCAAAUGACUUGCCUGGCUGGCGGUCUUCAAACGCUAGUGACUCGAGAUAGCAAGCUUCGCACUCCGGAAAUUCUAUCGAGUCAAACAAUAGCACAAAUAAGUAUUCCACUAAAUAACAUAACAGCAAGCUAAAGGAAAUCACACAAGCACUCAAACCAAAACCAAAGAAAACUCGAGGAAAACAAAAUCAAGGUUUUCAUCACUUCAAGCAACAACAAAGAAAUAGUUUUAUCCUACUAACACUUUUCUUAACAGAAUCAAAAUAAGGGUUUUGCUAACUAACAUAAAGGAAAACAUCAUAUAAACUAGGUGCAAAAAGAAUCACAUCAAUAUCUAUUAUAGAACUCAUGUUAUACCUAAAACAAAACUAAUAAGAAAAUAAAAUAAAACUUUUUAUUUUGCUGUAAAUAAAUGUUCACCCUCUAUAACUACAGAAACUAAUCUAAAAUAAAUUAUAACAGGGGUAAAUUAAAAUUCUAUAAUAACUAGAACAGCAGGAAGCAGCAGCAAGCUAAAUAAAACUAGAAAAGCUUGAUUUCGACUAAAACUAAUUUUCAUACAAUCUACAAAUACCCCAACAAGUUCCUAAUGCUAGGCUAGGUCAAAACUAAGCGGUGGCAAAAAGAAUCACCUAAAAAUAUUAAUUCUAGCUCAAAUUACGUAGAAAUACUAAUCUGACUAAAACGGAUAUAAAACUAUUUUUAUAAGCUUAAACAUGGCCGAAUCUAUUUUCUAUAGAAACUAUAGGAAAUUUGUAAACUAACAAAAAAGAAUCAACUAAAAAUAUUAAACAACCCAAAAGAUAUAGACUUUACAAGCACAGAACUAUUCUGUUUUAAAAAUAGAAACUAAAAAUAACUAAAAAAACAAGCGCUACUGAGCCUAUCUAACGCUCAGGCGAACACUAACUAAAACACGCCCGCGGCUAAACAGAAAUAAACCGCGCAACCGGCCUAACAAAACCACAACUUAAAAUAAACCAACCUAACCAGAAAAAACCGAAAAUAAACCAAUUUACUAAAAAACAAACUCUUUGUGUGAUCUAAUCUAGGCCAUGGAUAGCAGAUCGGACAGCGGGGAGCGGCUCCGGUGACUCACCACGGUUGCGACAACGGCGACAGGCAACGGCGGCUUGGGCGUGGACGGCGCGGCGGCUCCAGGGCCCGGGGAGGUCGGCGAAGAUGUCGGGGUGAGGCGGCGGAGUGUUGCGGAGGCGGUGGUGAUGUCGAGGUGGCUCGGGGACGACGGAAAUGGCCGGGGCGUCGACGGCGGGGUCCUGGUGAGCUGCAGCUCCGGCGAAGAGCGGCGGUGCUCGGGCGGCUUCCCGUAGGCGUCUAGGAAGAUCAAAAAGAUGUCAGGGGGUUGUGGGAGGAUGAGGCGGUUCACGGGGUGGAGCUUGGAGUCAAGGGGGGCGCUCACUGGUGGCAGAAGCGGUGGCGAACCGAGGUGGCGACGGCGAGAUGCGUUUGGCGACGGUGGUGGCUGUGGUGGGCUUUGGGAGUAGGGUUUUAGGGGGAUCAAGAGAGGAAGGGCGUAGGUAUUUAUAGGACAUCAACUUGGAGCAGGGGGCGACUCGGGAUCGUGAUCCCGUGGAAUUCGAACGCGGCGGCGGUGUCGAACGCGCUCUGACGCGGCAUAGCAUGGGCGAGGGGAAAGAGAUAAGGGCAGGCCCCCGCGACCAGUGAGAGAGAGAGGAGGAGGACGCGAGCGGGCGACCGGUCNNNNNNNNNNNNNNNNNNNNNNNNNNNNNNNNNNNNNNNNNNNNNNNNNNNNNNNNNNNNNNNNNNNNNNNNNNNNNNNNNNNNNNNNNNNNNNNNNNNNNNNNNNNNNNNNNNNNNNNNNNNNNNNNNNNNNNNNNNNNNNNNNNNNNNNNNNNNNNNNNNNNNNNNNNNNNNNNNNNNNNNNNNNNNNNNNNNNNNNNNNNNNNNNNNNNNNNNNNNNNNNNNNNNNNNNNNNNNNNNNNNNNNNNNNNNNNNNNNNNNNNNNNNNNNNNNNNNNNNNNNNNNNNNNNNNNNNNNNNNNNNNNNNNNNNNNUUUUUUUUAAAUUAAGGCAGAGAGAAAAAAACUAAACUAAGAGAAAACUAUAUUAUUUUUAUAUAAGACAUAUAUAUAUAUAUCAAAAUUCUCAGGUGAAAUAAUCCUACAACGUGGACAUUUUUCCAGGGGCGAAACAGAAACUAAAAAAACAUUCCUGCAAAUUCCAAAUAAAAUCAAAUUUGAAUUCAAACCUUUUGACAUUAAUUUUUCUUCUGACAUUUUUGGAGUGUCAUGUUUACUCCUCUCAUACUUUUGCUCAAGUAUUUUGUCAGAUGAUACGUCUCCGUCGUAUCUACUUUUCCAAACAAUUUUGCCCUUGUUUUGGACUCUAACUUGUAUGAUUUGAAUGGAACUAACCCGGACUGACGCUGUUUUCAGCAGAAUUGCCAUGAUGUUGUUUUAUAUGCAGAAAACAAAUAUUCUCGGAAUGACCUGAAACUCCACGGAACAUCUUAGAAAAAAAUCCUCGCCAAAGAUGAAGACCAGGGGGCCCAUACCCUGUCCACGAGGGUGGGGGCGCCCCCCCCCUCUAGGGCACACCCCCUACCUCGUGGGCCCCCUGGAUGCCCUCCGACGCCAACUCCAACUCUAUAUAUUUGCUUUCGGAGAGAAAAAAAUCAGAGAGAAGAAAUCAUCGCGUUUUAUGAUAUGGAGCCGCCGCCAAGCCCUAAAACCUCUCGGGAGGGCUGAUCUGGAGUCCGUUCGGGGCUCCGGAGAGGGGGAUUCAUCGCCGUCGUCAUCAUCAACCAUCCUCCAUCACCAAUUUCAUGAUGCUCACCGCCGUGCGUGAGUAAUUCCAUCAUAGGCUUGAUGGACGGUGAUGGGUUGGAUGAGAUUUAUCAUGUAAUCGAGAUAGUUUUGUUAGGGUUUGAUCCCUAGUAUCCACUAUGUUCUGAGAUUGAUGUUGCUAUGACUUUGCUAUGCUUAAUGCUUUUCACUAGGGCCCGAGUGCCAUGAUUUCAGAUCUGAACCUAUUAUGUUUUCAUGAAUAUAUGUGAGUUCUUGAUCCUAUCUUGCAAGUCUAUAGUCACCUACUAUGUGUUAUGAUCUGGCAACCCCGAAGUGACAAUAAUUGGGACCACUCCCGGUGAUGACCAUAGUUUGAGGAGUUCAUGUAUUCACUAUGUGCUAAUGCUUUGUUCUGGUUCUCUAUUAAAAGGAGGCCUUAAUAUCCCUUAGUUUCUGAUAGGACCCCGCUGCCACGGGAGGGUAGGACAAAAGAUGUCAUGCAAGUUCUUUUCCAUAAGCAUGUAUGACUAUAUACGGAAUACAUGCCUACAUUACAUUGAUGAAUUGGAGCUAGUUCUGUGUCACCCUAUGUUAUGACUGUUACAUGAUGAACCGCAUCCGGCAUAAUUAUCCAUCAUUGAUCCGGUGCCUACGAGUUUUCCAUAUACUGGUUCUCGCUUAUUUACUUCCCCGCUGCUACUGUUACAAUCACUACAAAAUACCAAAAACAUUACUUUUGUUGUCUUUACUUUUGUUGCCGCUACCGCCACUAUCAUAUUACUUUGCUACUAAAGACUUUGCUGCAGAUGCUAAGUUUCGAGGUGUGGUUGAAUUGACAACUCAACUACUAAUACUUGAGAAUAUUCUUUGGCUCCCCUUGUGUCGAAUCAAUAAAUUUGGGUUGAAUACUCUACCCUCGAAAGCUGUUGCGAUCCCCUAUACUUGUGGGUUAUCAAGACAAAUUUCUGGCGCCGUUGCCGGGGAGCAUAGCUCUAUUCUUUGAGUCACUUGGAAUUUAUAUAUACUGGACACUAUGAAGAACUUGAAAGACGCUAAUACAACAAUUUAUCCCUCAACUACGAGGGGAGGUAAGGAACUGCCAUCUAGCUCUGCACUUGAUUCACCUUCUGUUAUGAGUAGGCUAGCGACACGUAAACCUGCUUCUGCUAUUCGUUCCGAUAUGUCGCAUGUUAUUGAUGAUGCCACUUCUGCUAUGCAUGCUACUUAUGAUGAAACUGCUUCUAUGCCUGAUACUACUGUGCCCCUUGGUGAAUUUCUUGAUGAACAAAUUGCUAGGGCUAGAGAAAAAGAAAUUAUUGAAUCUGAAUACGAUGAUGAAAGUGAUGAUGAAAAUAUGCCUGUUAUUCCUGAGGGCUAUCUUUUUGAUAUGGAAUCUUCUGCCGCUAUUUUAGCUUGCAAAGAUAGAUAUGAGCUUAAGAGGUUAUUAGUUAAAUGGAACAAAGAAUCACUUAGAGAUAAAAUGAAACCCGACCCUGCUUUUGCUGCUUCACCUAUUUGUGUUCCUGAUAAGGAUUAUAAAUUCUCUGUUGAUCCUGAUAUAAUUACUUUGGUUGAAUCUGAUCCGUUUUAUGGCUACGAAUCUGAAACUGUUGUGGCACAUCUUACUAAGUUAAAUGAUAUAGCCGCCCUAUUUACUAAUGAUGAGAGAUCGCGUUACUUUUAUAUACUCAAAAUAUUUCCGUUCUCAUUAAAGGGUGAUGCUAAGAUAUGGUUUAAUUCUCUUGAUCCUGGUUGUGUGCGUAGUCCCCAGGAUAUGAUUUAUUACUUCUCUACUAAAUAUUUCCCUGCUCAUAAGAAACAAGCUGCUUUGAGGGAAAUAUACAACUUCGUGCAAAUUAAAGAAGAGAGUCUCCCACAAGCUUGGGGGAGGCUUCUCAAGUUACUUAAUGCUUUGCCUGAUCAUCCUCUUAAGAAACCUGAAAUACUUGAUAUCUUUUAUAAUGGACUAACCGAUGCUUCCAGAGAUUACCUGGAUAGUUGUGCUGGUUCUCUUUUCAGGGAAAGCACACUGGAUGAAGCUGAAAUUCUAUUGAAUAAUAUGUUGACAAAUGAAAAUAAUUGGGCACCUCCUGAGCCAGCUCCUGCUCCAAUUACUGAGUCUAUUCCUAAACCAACUCCGAAGAAGAGAGGUGUUAUAUUCCUCAGUCCCGAAGAUAUGCAAGAGGCAAAGGAAUCUAUGAAAGAAAAAGGUAUUAAAGCUGAAGACGUUAAGAAUUUACCUCCUAUUGAAGAAAUACAUGGUCUUAAUUCACCACCUAUUGAAGAAACUUAUGAUCUAAAUUCUUUAUUUAUUGAAAAACCUCCUGACUCCGAUAUCCCGACACAGGUAAUAAAAGUAAAUUCUCUCUAUAGAUAUGAUAAAGCUGAAGUCCCUCCUACUAAAAUUGCUAGUCAGUGCUUGGAUGAGUUUGAUAACUUCAUGUUUAAGCAAGACGACUUCAAUGCUUAUUUUGGUAGACAAUUAAAAGAAAAUGCUUAUAUGAUUAGACGCUUGGGUGAUUAUAUGGCUAAUAUUAAAGGUGAACUUAAACUUGUUAGCAAACAUGCUUCUAUGGUUACCACGCAAGUAGAACAAGUGCUUAAAGCUCAGAAAAAAGUGCUUGAUGAAAUGAAUAGUAAGAAAAAUGAUUAUGCUGUUAGAGUGGCUACUAGAACUGGUAGAAUGACUCAGGAACCUUUGUAUCAUGAAGGCCACCCUAAGAGAAUCGAGCAAGAUUCUCAAAGAAAUAAUAUUGAUGUUCCUAGUUCUUCUAAAAAGAAGAAGAAGAAAAAUAAUAGAACUGUGCACACUUCUGGUGAACCUAUUGCUGAACCACCUGAUAAUCCAAAUGAUAUCUCUAUGUUUGAUGUUGAAACACAAUCUGGUAAUGAACAUGAACCUAAUGAAAAUAUUAAUGAUGAUGUUCAUGAUAGUGCUCAACCUAGUAAUGAUAAUGAUGUAGAAAUUGAACCUGCUGUUGAUCUUGAUAAACCACUAUCAAAGAAUCAACGUUAUGAUAAAAGAGACUUUGUUGCUAGGAAACAUGGUAAAGAAAGGGAACCUUGGGUUCAGAAACCCAUGCCUUUUCCUCCAAAACCAUCCAAGAAAAAGGAUGAUGACGAUUUUGAGCGCUUUGCUGAAAUGAUUAGGCCUAUCUUUUUGCGUAUGCGAUUAACUAAUGUGCCCAAACAAAUCCUUAUGCUAAAUAUAUGAAGGAUAUCAUUACUAAUAAAAGAAAGAUACUGGAAGCUGAGAUUUCCAUCAUGCUUACUAAUUAUACUUUUAAGGGUGGAAUACCAAAGAAACUUGGAGACCCCGGAGUACCUACUAUACCUUGCUCCAUUAAAAGAAAUUAUAUUAAAACUGCUUUAUGUGAUCUUGGAGCCGGUGUUAGUGUUAUGCCUCUCUCUUUAUAUCGUAGACUUGACUUGAAUAAGCUGACACCUACCAAAAUAUCUUUACAAAUGGCUGAUAAAUUAACUGCUAUACGUGUCGGUAUUUGUGAGGAUGUGCCUGUUGUGGUUGCAAACGUUACUAUUUUAACGGACUUUGUUAUACUUGAUAUUCCCGAGGAUGAUAGUAUGUCUAUUAUUCUUGGAAGACCUUUUCUUAAUACUGCAGGGGCUGUUAUUGAUUGCAACAAAGGCAAUGUCACUUUUCAUGUUAAUGGUAAUGAGCAUACGGUACACUUUCCGAGGAAACAACCUCAAGUUCAUAGCAUCAACUCCAUUGGAAAAGUUCCAUCGAUUAUAAUUGGAGGUUUUGAAUUUCCUCUUCCUACUAUCAAAAAGAAAUAUGAUAUACUUAUUAUAGGGGAUGUGCAUAUCCCCGUUGAGGUAAUUUAGUGUUAUUCGAAAUUUCUCUGGUUUCAUGAUUAUCGGAAUGAGUUUGUUAACAAGACUUGAUCAACCUUGUUAGUGGAUUCUUUUUGAUGAGCAUGAGAUGGAUGAAACUAGAAGCACAACCUUCUAUACCCUCUCUAUAUUUUCUGUUAAUUAGUAGAAAUAAAGUAAAAAUAGUAUUUUCUGUCUGUUUCCUGACUUAUCCGUGCAAUAUAAAAAUAACCCGAAAAUAAAAGUCCUCAGAAUGACAUGCCAAUUUAAUAUGAUUUUUUUGGGAAUAUUUGAGGAUUUACUAUGCAAAAAUUACCGCGGGAGGAGCUGCCACCUGGCCACGAGGGUGGUGAGCGCCCCCCCUCUAGGGCGCGCCCCCCUGCCUCGUGGGCCCACGGUGGCCCUCCUCCACUUAUCCCAGCACCCAUCUUCUUCCUCUGUCUCACACAAACCCGAAAAACCAUCUGUCGGUGUCAAAACCGGCGGAUCUCGGGUAGGGGGUCCCGAACUGUGCGUCUAGGCUGGAUGGUAACAGGAGGCAGGGAACACGAUGUUUUACCCAGGUUCGGGCCCUCUCGAUGGAGGUAAAACCCUACGUCCUGCUUGAUUAAUAUUGAUGAUAUGGGUAGUACAAGAGUAGAUCUACCACGAGAUCAAGGAGGCUAAACCCUAGAAGCUAGCCCAUGGUAUGAUUGUUGUAUGAUGAUGUUGUCCUACGGACUAGAACCCUCCGGUUUAUAUAGACACCGGAUAGGGUUAGGGUUACAUAGAGUCGGUUACAAUGGUAGGAGAUCUUGAAUAUCCGCAUCGCCAAGCUUGCCUUCCACGCCAAGGAAAGUCCCAUCCGGACACGGGACGAAGUCUUCAAUCUUGUGUCUCCAUAGUCCUGGAGUCCGGCUGAAGGUAUAGUCCGGCUACCCGAACACCCCCUAAUCCAGGACUCCCUCAGUAGCCCCCGAACCAGGCUUCAAUGAUGAUAAGUCCGGCGCGCAGAUUGUUCGGCAUUGCAAGGCGGGUUCUUCUCCCAAUCCUGUGUACCUGUAAGAAUAAUGUUCGAUUUUUGUAAUGUAAUGCUCCUUGGCUUCCACGCCCAAUAAUGGCUGUCUUCCACGUGUCAAACGAAUGCGAAAAGCCAGGGCGUUUUUACAUCAACACCCCUAGCCAUAUAAAUGAGCCGCCUAUUUAACAGGAUGGGGAUUCAGGUUCAAACCACAUCUUCUCCUCUCCGCGAGUUAUCAUCAGAGCGCUUCCAGCAAAGGUCCAUUCCAACAUGUCCAGCCAUCGCAGCUCCUCCCCUCGCCCCUCCGGUCCCAAACCCGGGGACUGGGAGAGUUGCACCAUCCCGCACAGCGAGUUAGUGUCGCUUCAGGCCAAGGGAUUUCUCCCCCAGGCAUACAUGGUCCCGGUCCGAGCCGGUCUCGCCACCUACAAUGGCGGAAAACAAGCGGAGAGCACCCCCAAUCCUUCUAAAGGAGAGCGGGUGUGCCUCGUCCCCUAUCUAAUAAGGGGACUGGGAUUUCCAAUUCAUCCAUUUCUCCGCGGGCUUUUGGAGUUUUACGGUCUCCAGCUGCACAAUCUCACGCCCGCCUCCGUAUUACACAUCGCGGGUUUCGUCGCCCUUUGCGAGCUAUUUUUAGGCGUUGAGGCUCAUUUCGCACUGUGGAAGAGGUUAUUCUGCCUGGUGCCCCGUUCUCAAGAGGGGUCUAUCUACCAAGUGGGCGGAGCCGAAGUAUGACGCAUCGCCGGGACCGGAUACCUAUCCGGAACCCCGAAGAAGGCGUCCAAGGACUGGCCUUCGGAAUGGUUUUACAUAGAUGACGUCCUGCUACCGGACCCUAUCCGGGUCGGUCUCCCUGAGUUCAACAAUGCCCCAUUGAAGAAACGCCUGAGCUGGCGUCCACGGAGUUCUCAGAGAGAAAGUGACAGAGACGUCCUUUACCUGAUGGGCCGGAUAAGACUGUUGGCUCAUUCUGGACUAACCAUGACUGGAGUCAUGGCCGUAUGCAUUAUGCGGGGGGUGCAACCGCUUCAAUAUAGAGGCCACCCCAUGUGGGAUUUCAACGGGGAGGAUGACGCCACCCGUUGCGGUCGUAAGGGGCCGGCCUCAGCCGCCGCCUUAGUAAAGAUCUUAUCCUCUUUGUACAAGGGAGAAAAGGAGGAAUUCCUCCGCGUCAACCCGCAGGCCGGAUUCAGUAUGUACAAUCCUCAAAGUUGGGUAAGUGAACAAUUGCGCUUGCCCAUUUGUUUUAUACUCCCACGGUUAGAUAGGUAGUCUAACGACUUCGAUGCAGGAACUGCGACAGGAGGUAAAAGAUAUAAACAACCGUCCUCCACAGCCUGAGGACCCAGAACGGUCCCUCAAUCCGGACUCCGAAGAGGAUCCGGACAUAUCGGUGGAGCUUAUCGAUGGGGUGUUCCAUGAGCUAAGUAAGGACAAUACCUUGGUGGCCAUUACGGCGGAUUACCCAGGGUUAAUCCCGGCCUCCCAGGUGAUGGAAACCGGAGUCCCAUUCCCUUGAAAGAGAUUCCACUCUCACGUAUUCCGGUGUUUCUAACGACAAUCGUGUUUUGCAGGGGAGAUUUCCGAGGCAGGAGGCCGAACCUGCGGCGGCUAGCCAACGAGGGGCCGCAGGGCCCCGUGGGGCAAAAAGGAAUGUAGUCCGGACUGAGAUGCCGACGCAAAGGUAUAGCGCACCCUCUGUUUCCCUAGAGUUAUUCUAUCAGGGCAUAUUAACGUUCGUGCCAUCUUUAGAACGAAGAGACCUUGCCGGACUACAUCCGGAGAGGUUGCCAAUCGCGCCUCCACCAGCCAGGCUCCAACGUCUGGCCAGGAAGCGGAGACGAGCACAAGGCACGUACCGGACGCUCCUCCGACAGAGGAUGCGGACGGGCUGUCUGCCACAAAUUCUGAAGUGGAGAGUGCCAUGAACCACAGGCGUCACCGAACAGUUCUACGCGACGCUUGUUUCUCCCAAGAGGCUUUAGAUGCCUUUAAUUCGGGAGAUGCGUAUCUCCAUGCCGCUCAAAAUGGUUUAGCCAGAGCCACGGAGCAGUAUGUAAAAGACAUACGGGUAAGAAAAUUUUGGUUAAAUAUAUAUAUAUAUAUAUAUGUGCCAGUAGCCCCCGAGACUUGAAGCAGUUAGAGAAACUGAUUUAAGGAUCAUUUAAUAUGCAGGUUCUUACAAAGAAGAAUACCGUACUGUCCCAGGAGCUGGAAAAGUGCAAGGCCCAACUAGAGGCCGCACUAGCCGCAGCAGGGGAGCCCAAAGAGACCCCCUCAGGUAAGAUACACUUUGAAAGAUUAGUAUUGUGCGGUGUGGGUGCAAAUCUGACCGAUUAUAUUGCAGAUGGCGCCGGACUCGAUCCGGACAAGCAACAACUCUUACGCCGGCUAAAGGCCGGUGAGAGUGUGUUGACAAAGGUGAGGCGGGAGAAGAAUGAUCUUCAGGAUGCCAACACCAAGCUGGACGUUGAACUUAAAGAUGUUCAUGGCCAGCUGUCGGACUCCACGAAGGAGAAUCAGCGGCUUCGACGCAACAUAUUUAGUAAGUGCUUGAACGAACUUUGAAGAAAAAGUUCGGCGAGGAAGUCGACUAACAGAGUAAUGUCUAUAGGUAUGCUCACAGGUCGUCCUGCAGAGGAGAUGCCCGGUUCUAUGGGUGACCUUCUUCCCGAACUCUUGCAACUGCAUGAGCGAAUUCGGCAGGCGAUGCGAGGUAUUGCCCAAGCCUUAUGGCCUGCCCACUCCGUGCCCGAGGGCCUUGGAGAGCUUGCGGAGAAGCUGAAGGGAGCUCGGCGGCACUUCCGGUUGUGGAAGAUAUCGGCCUGCCGACAAGGCGCUAGGGAGGCCUGGGCCAUGGUGAAGACCCGUUUUACGAAGUCUGACCCAAACCACAUGGCUGAGGUCGGACCAGUGGGGCCUGACGGGAAGGAGAUCCCUGUAAGCUUAGUAUACAGCCAAGUAGAGUUGGCCGCAAAGUAUUCCCAGCAGGACUGUAAAUUAGACAGCCUGUUAGAUGGUAUAGAAGAGGAAUACAAUCAGUCAGAAUGACUGUGUAAUUUUGAAUUGACAUGUGUAAUGCCUUCUAGCCGGAUUGUAGAUCGUUUGUCGUUGCCGACCUUUUCGCUUCAACCUCGGGACCUGACGGUCUGGAGUGUGUCCGAAUACCCUAACAGUUAUAUAAGAACCGGGGUAUGCUUGGAGACCAGGCGUAGGGGUCAUCAGUGCUUUAUCAGACAAGUGCCCAACUAGUUAUGUUAUAUUACAUGGUUAGUAAGAAACAUCUUCCAGAGAGAAUAGUUCCGUUAAGGGUUCCUUUCACUGGGAGGCAUGCCCUAAGGUGCAUGUCCAGACUGCGUGAAGAGACGCAAAAAAAAGCAUCUGGGGGCGCAUAAAAUGAGUAAAAAGAUCAUCUUUUAUCUCACCGACCGGAUAUUCCCUUAAGAACGCUACCUUUCGGCUUCACCCAGUCUGAGGUACACAUCCGGCUGACCCGGCAGUAACAAUCGCAGAGGUGCUCCCUUUACCGCCUAGCCGAACAAUCGGGAACGUAGGGGUAAGCACAGGAGCCAGGCAACCCAGCUUGGCCAAAACUUAAGUCAUAUCGAUGCAUAUAAUGGUGAAGAAAAAGGUACAUGCGGAAGUUUGACGCAUGUGUUGGGCGUGAAGCCCGUAUAAAUAAGCUUCUGUUAAAGAAGCCCCCAGGUUUAAUGAGCGCGAGUGGCGCGUCACUAGAUGAGCCUUUAAGGGCUAUAAAAGGAAAAAAUGGGAAGGAGAGAAAUGUAAGACAGAAAAAUUCAAAAAAGAAUGGACAGAGGAAGGAGACGAACACAGAGUUCGGCGUUAGGCAUAGAAUCUUCGGAGACGGGCGGCGUUCCACGGGUUCGGCUCGAGUCGGUUGUUCGACGCAUCUCGCAGGUCGUACGCCCCACCAGUCAGGACUUGGUCGAUUAUGAAUGGACCUUCCCACUUGAGCUUGAGUUUGUCCUUUUUCUUAUCCGGCAGGCGUAGAACUAGUUCGCCAACAUUGUAAUUUUUGGCCCGUACUUCUCUGCUUUCAUAUCUUCGGGCCUGCUGUUGAUAAAAUGCGGAACGGGCUUUUGCCACGUCAUGCUCCUCCUCCAAGGCGUCCAAGUUGUCCUGCCGAUCGAGCUCGGCUUCUCUUUCUUCGUACAUGCGCACUCUAGGUGAGUCAUGAAUUAUGUCGCAGGGCAGAACUGCUUCUGCGCCGUACACCAUAAAAAUGGUGUGUAUCCGGUGGUGCGAUUUGGCGUGGUCCACAGCCCCCAUAGCAUGGAGUCGAGCUCCUCUACCCAGUGCGUGUUAGAUUCCUUGAGGGACCGCACUAGUCUGGGUUUAAUGCCACUCAUGAUAAGACCAUUUGCACGUUCGACCUGGCCGUUGGUUUGUGGGUGAUAGACGGAAGCAUAAUCGAGCUUGAUGCCCAUGUUUUUGCACCAGAGUUUUACCUCGUCGGCGGUAAAGUUUGUACCGUUAUCGGUUAUGAUGCCGUGGGGGACGCCAUAACGGUGUACGACCCCGGAUAUGAAGUCUAUCACCGGUCCGGAUUCGGCCGUUUUAACAGGCUUGGCUUCUAUCCAUUUGGUGAACUUAUCCACCAUGACGAGUAAGUAUUUUUUCUUAUGGUUUCCACCUUUAAGGGGUCCGACCAUGUCAAGCCCCCAGACCGCAAAAGGCCAGGUGAUGGGUAUAGUUUGGAGUGCGGUGGGUGGCAUAUGGCUUUGGUUGUCAAACAGUUGGCAACCAGCGCAUCGUUGGACUAGGUCCUGAGCGUCUGCCCGGGCCGUCGGCCAAUAAAAGCCUGUACGAAAAGCCUUGCUAACAAGGGACCGAGCAGCGGCAUGGUGACCACCGAGUCCGGCAUGAAUUUCAGCCAGAAGGUUUUGCCCUUCCUCUUCGGAGAUGCACCUUUGAAGGACUCCGGUAGUGCUUUUCUUAUAAAGCUCUCCCUCAUGGACUCUGUAGGCUUUAGAUCGCCGCACUAUGCAGCGGGCCUUGUUUUGGUCCUCCGGGAGUUCCUGCCUAGUAAGGUAGGCUAGGAAUGGUUCUGUCCACGGGGCGAUAACCGCCAUUAUUACGUGGGUUGAAGGUGUAAUUUCGUUGGCAGAGCCUCCAAUUGUGUCAGAUUGUUCGGCGUCGAGUGGUGCGGCUGGGUUCGGGUUGUUGUUUGCGGGUUCCCCCUCCCAUGCUACGGAUGGCUUGAACAAUCUUUCCAAGAAGAUGUUGGGGGGGACUGCAUCGUGUUUUGCUCCGAUGCGUGCUAGGACGUCCACCGCUUGAUUGUUUUCUCGGGCUAUAUGGUGAAACUCCAGCCCUUCGAACCGAGCUGACAUUUUUAGGACGGCGUUGCGGUAAGCUGCCAUUUUUGGGUCCUUGGCAUCGAAGUCUCCAUUUAUUUGGGAUAUUGCGAGGUUUGAAUCCCCGCGUACUUUUAGGCGCUGGAUACCCAUGGAUACUGCUAUCCGGAGGCCAUGUAGGAGGGCCUCAUAUUCGGUUGCAUUGUUGGAAUCCGUGUACAUGAGCUAGAGCACAUAUUGGACUGUGUCGCCUGUGGGGGACGUCAGGACGACGCUGGCCCCCAGUCCGGCCAACAUUUUGGAUCCGUCGAAAUGCAUAAUCCAGUUUGAAUAUAUGUCGUACUCUUUAGGGAGCUCGGCCUCCGUCCAUUCUGCGACGAAGUCGGCCAAAACUUGCGAUUUAAUAGCUCGCUGUGGCUUAUAGGUUAUAUCGAAUGGGAGAAGCUUGAUGGCCCAUUUUGCAAUCUGGCCCGUUGCAUCACGGUUGUUGAUGAUAUCGUUGAGUGGUACUUCCGAGGCUACUGUUAUGGAACACUCUUGAAAGUAGUGUCGUAGCUUACGAAGUGCCAUGAAUACCGCAUAUGCAAUCUUUUGAUAAUGCGGGUACCGUGAUUUGCAUGGAGUGAGGACAGUGGACACGUAGUAGACCGGCCUUUGAAGGGGGAAUUUGUGUGUGUCCGUUUCCCGCUCGACAACGAGCACUGUGCUGACAACUUGAUGUGUUGCUGGAAUGUACAAUAACAUUGGUUCGCCGGUGUUUGGCGCGGCCAGGACUGGGUUUGUUGCUAAUAUGGCUUUUAUUUCAUCAAGUCCUGCCGUGGCGGCAUCCAUCCACUCGAAGUGUUCGGUGCGCCGAAGGAGGCGAUAGAGGGGUAGUGCCUUUUCUCCCAAACGAGAGAUGAAGCGGCUUAAAGCCACCACGCAUCCGGUUAAUUUUUGUAUUUGUUUAAGGUCCUUUGGGACAUCCAAUUGUGACAAAGCUCGGAUCUUGGCUGGAUUUGCUUCAAUUCCUCUACCGGAUACAAUGAAGCCCAAGAGCUUUCCGGCUGGAACGCCGAAGACGCAUUUUUCCGGGUUGAGCUUGAUGUCAUAUUUUCGGAGGUUAUCGAAUGUAAGCCUCAAGUUGUCUACUAGGGAUUCGACAUGUCUUGAUUUGACGACCACAUCAUCCACAUACACCUCCACUGUUUUGCCGAUCUGGUGUGCCAAACAUGUCUGGAUCAUGCGCUGAUAUGUUGCGCCGGCGUUUUUCAGCCCGAAGGGCAUUGUGUUGAAGCAGAAUGGGCCGUAUGGUGUGAUGUAUGCUGUUGCAGCUUGGUCUGAUUCUGCCAUCUUGAUUUGAUGGUAACCGGAGUAUGCGUCGAGGAAACACAACGAAUCAUGUCCUGCGAUGGCAUCGAUAAUUUGAUCGAUACGGGGAAGGGGGAAGGGAUCCUUUGGGCAAGCCUUGUUAAGGUCUUUAAAAUCGACACACAGGCGCCAGUAUUUGUCCUUCUUUGGUACCAUCACCAGGUUUGCUAGCCAGUCCAGAUGUUUUAUGUCUCUAAUGAAUCCGGCCUCCAAUAGCUUGGCCAGCUCCUCUCCCAUGGCUUGUCUCUUGGGUUCGUAAACACGCCGAAGGGCUUGUUUGACAGGUUUAAAUCCUUUUAGGAUAUUUAAGCUGUGUUCGGCCAGCCUGCGUGGGAUCCCUGGCAUGUCUGAAGGGUGCCAGGCGAAGAUGUCCCAGUUCUCUCGUAGGAACUCUCGCAGUGCGGCAUCUACAUCAGGGUUCAGUCGUGCCCCGAUGGAAGCUGUUUUAUUGGGGUCCGUUGGAUGGACCUGGAAUUUGACUAUUUCGUCAGCUGGCUUGAAGGAUGUGGAUUUGGAUCUCUUAUCAAGUAUCACAUCAUCUCUGUUAACCGUGGAGCGCAGCACGGUCAGUUCCUCGGCCGCUAAGGCUUCGGAUAGCGCCUCGAGGGCUAAUGCGGCCGUCUUGUUUUCGGCGCGGAGUGCUAUGUCCGGAUCACUAGCUAGAGUGAUAAUUCCGUUCGGCCCGGGCAUCUUAAGCUUCAUGUACCCGUAAUGGGAUAUUGCUUGGAAGAUUGUGAAUGCUUCCCGCCCUAGUAAAGCGUGAUAUCCGCUCUUAAAUGGGGCCACCUGAAACGUGACUUCUUCGGACCUGUAAUUAUCCGGCGUGCCGAACACCACAUCUAGUGUGAUUUUUCCUGUGCAGCGCGCUUCCCGACUGGGGAUUAUUCCUCUAAAGGAUGUGCUGCUUCGCUCGACGCGGUUCCAGUCUAUUUCCUUUUUUUGAAGGGUUUCCUCAUAAAUGAGGUUCAGUCCGCUGCCUCCAUCCAUGAGCACCUUGGUGAGGCGAAAGCCGUCCACUAUGGGACUGAGGACCAAUGCGGCUGGUGCUCGGGCUGUUCGGAAUCUAGGUUCAUCACUUGUGUUGAAGGUAAUGGCAGUGUCGCUCCAUGGAUUUAUUGUUGCAACUUGAUAGACUUCGGCGAGGUUGCGGAGUGUUCUUUUUCGCACAUUGUUUGAUGCGAAAGUCUCGAAGACUGUGAGAACGGUACUGGUGUCCUUGGGAUGGCUUUCUGCGGCCUCCGGAAUUAGGAGGUCCUCGCCGAUUUUGGCCACCUGUCGGAGUAUCCAACAUGCUCUAAGGCUGUGAGUUGGUGUGGCGUCCUCUGUACUGUGAAUUCUACAGGGUCCAUCAAGCCAUCUUUCCAGUACGGUUCCAUGCCCUGUAGAGGGUUUUGGCUUUUUGGUGUUUAUCCCGGGUGUCCUAUGAUGCACCCUCUUAGUUCGGACGGGAUUACUACUCAAGGUCGGAUUAUCCCAAAAUUUUAUUUCGGUUUUCCAGACGCUUUCCAUCGCACAGUAUUUUUGUACUAUGGACGCCAAGUCAGCGAAGCGUGUAAUAUCACGACGACUUACAGCGUUGAGGAUUCCCUUGUCCGUGCAAUUACUGCAGAAAAUUGAGAUUGCGUCUCCCUCGCAGCAAUCCUUUAUCCUGUUCAUAACCAGGAGGAAUCUGGCCCAGUAAUGAUGUAUUGUUUCCUCGGGCCUCUGCCUGAUUUGGGAGAGAUCGCUUAUGAUCGGGUGGGCGGGUGUCGUUGAAUUUGAAACCUCACCCAAUCCAAGAUUCGGAGGCUGAAGAGUUUCCGAACUCUGAAGUUCGGAUUCUUGGGUGUUGUCCAAUGAAUCUGGCCCGUUGCCUGAUCCUAAGCUCAGGUCUUGAGUUACAUCCUCCCCUCCGCGGGUAUCCGGCUUGGAGGGGUCGGGAAUUCGGACGUAGCUAGUCCUUAGAAUAGAUGAAGGGUCGCCGCACUGCGCCUCCACCACGGCAACAUGGUGGGUGACUUGGGGAGAGUUAAUUUCUCUUAGAUCGGGUUUAAGCCCAACCUAGUCGUAAUCCGUAGCGACCCCCAGGGCGGUGAUGCGAUCCAAGAGCUCAUUUAUGAAAGAGAGCUCCAUUGGGUCUAGCUGCUCGACGAACUCCGAGCUGGCGUGUAGGUUGCUUAUGAUGACCCGAGAGGUCACCAUCGGCGCAACAGCCGAACAGCGGUCAUGAGGAAACCACCUAACCGGAGAGUUUGGCCGACAGCCAAGGCUCCCUUAGCAACGGCGCCGUCUUUAAAGAUGGGAGGAGGCAUCCUUCCUGAUUGCGACGGCACAGAGGAACUCUCAAUGAAAGCACCAAUGUCGGUGUCAAAACUGGCGGAUCUCGGGUAGGGGGUCCCGAACUGUGCGUCUAGGCCGGAUGGUAACAGGAGGCAGGGAACACGAUGUUUUACCCAGGUUCGGGCCCUCUCGAUGGAGGUAAAACCCUACGUCCUGCUUGAUUAAUAUUGAUGAUAUGGGUAGUACAAGAGUAGAUCUACCACGAGAUCAAGGAGGCUAAACCCUAGAAGCUAGCCUAUGGUAUGAUUGUUGUAUGAUGAUGUUGUCCUACGGACUAGAACCCUCCAGUUUAUAUAGACACCGUAUAGGGUUAGGGUUACAUAGAGCCGGUUACAAUGGUAGGAGAUCUUGAAUAUCCGCAUCGCCAAGCUUGCCUUCCACGCCAAGGAAAGUCCCAUCCGGACACGGGACGAAGUCUUCAAUCUUGUGUCUCCAUAGUCCUGGAGUCCGGCUGAAGGUAUAGUCCGGCUACCCGAACACCCCCUAAUCCAGGACUCCCUCACCAACUCAAGCACGAGUUCCAGCCACUUUUGCUGUGAUUUUCGAUCUCCUUGCUCAAAGCACCUCUCGCAAAACUGCUUGGGGAGAUUGUUCCUUGGUAUGUGACUCCUCCAUUGGUCCAAUUAGUUUUUGUUCUAGUGCUUUACUCUUUGCAAAUUUGUGCUGCAUAGGUGACCAUGUUCUUGAGCUUGCAUGUCAAAUUUAUAUGGUUCCAAGUAGUUCUAAUGCUUGAUAUAGGCUCUAGGCACUUGUAGGAGUAGUUGCUAUCAGUUUUAUUGAAGUUGAUUCACUUUUGUUUGAAGUUACUAAAAAUUUCAGAAUUUUUCAGAGAAAAACAAUAUGCUUAGGAAGAUGUUCCAAGGUGGUUCUUCUAAGAAGCAAGGACCCAGGAUUGCUAUGCGCGAUGCUGACGAGGAUCCACCAAGAGAUGCUCCAGUACGACCUUGCGAAUGGCCGUCGGAAAAUUUUAUGGACCGUGCGGGAAUUAAAGAAGAAUUCAAAGCAUAUUUGCGCAAUGCCGGUCUUGAGGAUUUUGAGGCUAACAAAUGCUCCCAGUAUCAUGAUCUCACAAGUUCAUUUGUGAGGAGGUUUGAGUAUUCAUCUUCGUGUAAUUCUCCUUCAGUCAUGUUUGAUCUCUAUGACAAAUCUUAUACCAUGGACUUAGAGGAUUUCACUUCUUCUUGCAAACUUUCAUCAUGGGGUAGUGUUAGGGCUCCCCCUAAAUCUGAAUUUAGAAACUUUCUUACUAGUAUAACUGUGGGGGAAUCUAGAGAUAUAACGCAGGCUACCAUAGGGAGCAUUCACUUUCCUGCUAUACAUUAUUUUGCUCUCUUCAUCGGUAGAUGCAUAAAUGCUAAAGAUGAAGCAUGUCACAUGUGUGUCCCUGAUCUUAGCAUUCUUAGGAGUGCUGUGUUAGGAGACCAAUCUUAUCAUAUGGGAGCCAUUGUAGCUCAUAGGUUGCAUCAUAAUAGACAUAAUGGAGAUUUCUUUGGAGGAAUUUAUGCAACCCGCUUAGCUCGUUUUCUUGAGAUAGACAUUCGUGAGGGUGAUACGGAAUUGCCUCCUGCAUAUUUAGAUUAUAACUCUAUGGCUUCGCACUAGUUUGUCGAGAGGCCUGAAUCACCUCUCUUAUAUCGUUUAAUUUUUGAUAAACGACGUGUUUUCCAUAUUACUCUCCUUGCUCCUUCCUUCUUUGAGGUUAUUACCAGAGAGGAGGCAGAAGAGUACGAGAGGAGAGCGGAGGUAGCUCGACUCCACACGGUAGCUCAGCAGGCGAUAACCGCUGCGCAUCAGUAUGAUCCCAACUAUUCUUCAUCGCAGUACGACCCCAGCUACACCUAUGGGUAUCCGCCAGGCUAUCCCUGGCAAUAGACCAACUUAGGCCAAAAGCCUAAGCUUGGGGAGUACGUAUUUCUCACCGACAUUACAUUUAUGCUCACACACACUCAUCACUAGAUGUCGGUGCUCAUACUCUUUCACUGUAAUAUCCAUGCUAGUUUAUUUUCUUUUUUCUGCUUUCUUCUUGUGUGUUUGUUAAACCUCGAGAAAAACCAAAAAAAAA
rnacentral:lncRNA from 1 species